rnacentral:lncRNA from 1 species
CCAUAUUUGAUCACUUUAAUUGGACUUAACCUUAUUUGAUAGUUUGCAACCCAUAAUUAUUCACAUAUAAGUCCAACGUUGGAUUAAGGAUCCAACAUACUGCUCUUUGCAAAUGUUUUGCAUGCAAGACUUGCAUGAUUUCCAUUCUCCAUGGGGAAUCCAGAUAAGUUCUGUUGAUGCAAAAACUGCUUAAAUAAGCCGAUGGUGGGAGUCACAUGCAGCUAAAGGAUUGUAAAUGCACAACUACCGAAUUGAUUAUUAAGAAUUUGGUUAAUUGGCAAUCAAUGAUCUUUCACAAAAUUUACCAUUCCAGUUUAGUGAUCAUCAUCCUUGAAUUUCUUGUUGAGAUUUGAAAAGUCAUUAAUCCAAGGUUAAUGAAGAUUUGUUCAUGAGAAAUUAGCUAGUUAUCAACAAUAGUAUCAAUAAAAGCAAACAAACCUGUGGUAUUGGAAUCAAAAUUCUUUAUCACCACAACAGAACAACGCGUACAUCCAAUAAUCAUGACUGGAAAAAAAAACCCAAAUAGUUGAGAAACUAAACAAAUUUGUACUUACUUAGGGCUGAUAUGUUGACUUGGGACAAAAUUUGUUUUCUCUGAUUCAGUCCUGUAGUUCCCAAGGAACGUGUGUAUAUGGCGACUACAAUCCUGCAGUUUCUGCAGAGUUUGGAAUUUUUAACUUUUAAACAUUAGUCUCUUUUGUUUCGAACACAACGGUGAGAAAAAAAAAAAGGAACUCUGGAUAUUGAUGGAAUCAUGUGUAACGAAGUCCAAUAAUUUGUCAUUUUGUGUCUCUAUAAUAUAAGCAUACAUAGACAUAUUUUAAAUAAAAGGCAUUUCUUAAGAAGAGUUGAUAUCGAGGUGCUAAACCUUUGCGUCGACGUAAGAUCUUGGCAAUUUUCAUGAUUCUUAAAAUUAUGUAGCUUGAAUAUUUUUGCUACGUUUCACAUAUCUUGUUCCUAACGUGGCAUUGUCAAGCAAUGCACUUGAUUGCAUUUAACUUCGUCAAGAAAGCUAAUAAAAUUUACAAAAUUUUCAUCACAUAAGCUACACUAGUCACUACUCUUAUUUUUUAAACUGAUUUCUAUAAAAGAGAAGGAGGUUUAGCACCUCUUUGUAACAAAAACCUCAAUUAGGGUCAGUGGUGGGGCCACAUGCAAGCAAAUGGGGUUAAUUGACGCCACUUAAUUUUGGAAAAUUAGUUUUUAGGUUUAGGUAAUUUAGAAAAUUUUGAAGUUGCAUCUUAUAUGACCCCACUAAAUUUUAUCAAAUUCUCUUUUCUAUCUACAUUGACCACAAGCAAUUGAAAUUUCAUAAUUCUUAUCAUCACAAUAAUUUUGAAUUUAUUUCAAAUUAUUUAUGGAAGUUAGUUCAAGAAUAAAUUCAUCCAAAGUUUCCAAAAAUAAGGGGUGGAAUUUUUUGAGUGGAGUGAGAAAACCAAUUUUUCAAACUUCAAAAUUUCUAAAAUCAAGAACUUUUUAAGUGGAUGGUAAAUUUUUUAUUUAUAAUACGAAAUUAAAUUAUUAUGAUUUUUAUUUAUAACACGAUAAAUAUAAAUUUCUUAAAAGAAACUCGUAGAAGAUCAAGUUGACAAAAUCAAGAGAUUCAUCUAGUUACAUUGAAAAAGAUGUAUUUAAAAAAUUGCCAAUGAAUUGAUUUUGCGGCAUUUAAAAAAAAUGAGUACUUGUAUGGUACAAUUUUAACUUGUAUGUAAAGUUAAUAGUUUUCUAAAAUUUGACCCCAUUUAAUGUGGGGUCUUAGCUCCGCCCCUGAUUAGGGUACAGUAUUUUAGGCCUUGUUUAAUAACCCAGUUUAGCACUUAAAGUUAAGGGAUUCAGAUCUUAAUAUAUUCAGACUGUUUGAUAACCAAAAAUUAAACAUCUAAAUUAAUUAACUAGCACUGAAUUUUCUAGGCAAAACCUGCUCCCAAAAUUAAGUGAUAAACUAUUCACUUAUCAUAAAUGUGAUAUACAUUCAAAUGUAUUAGAUUUAAUACUUAACAAUUCAAUAACUUAAUGAAUUCAGAUUUUAGAUUUCAUAUUUCAAAUUUCAGUUUUCAAACUUCAGUUUUAUUAAACUCAAAAAUUCCUGAUUGAACUAAAAUCCAAAAACAAUAAUCGCUCCCCUCUAGCUGUCGAUGACUAAAUGUGGACAUAUCUCUCUGUGUGUAUAUAUAAACAAGGCUAAAGUCCGAAGAAUAGGCGAUGGUAGCUUUCAAGUUUCAACCACUCAAAAUUCCUCAUUGAACUAAAAUCUACAACAACAGAAAAAAAAAUAUCGGUCCCCUCUUGCAGAUUCAAAUAACAAACUUUUCCAUCUAUCUAUACAAAAUUGGAUUCUAAAUCCACUCUCUAUUGUAUUGAGACCAAAAUCAACAGUCCAUUACUUAAUUAACUCCCAAAAAUUCGUUUGAGGCCCUAAUAUAAACAUCACAAAAUAGCGUAUUUUAAACCUCUUGACAAUAGUAAGAGCGAAUUGUCUUAAAUUUGGAUGAUGGAAAAAUUAUGGCAAAAUUAAAAAGAGUAAUAAAAAGCAAAUUAAAUCACAAAAAUAGCAAUCAUGUUCGAAACUUCCUAGUGAAACAUUACCGGAAAAGAUUAUUGUUUUCUGAUAAAAGGUAGAGAAGCAAACCAGCUGUACAGAAGUCAUAAAAGAAAACAGCUAAGUUUAACAAAUAAUACAAUAGGAUAUGCAACCAACAAUUAUAAAUAACUAUUUUAUAUCACAUACAUUACAUCGAAACAAAUAUACGGACACUGGAACCCAAACUCACAAACUCACAUCGAAAAAACUAUACACAUACUUCUCACAACUCACAAACCCAAACUAUUGGAACACGGAUAUUGUUCAUUUUUUACUGCUAACGUCAUCCAUAUCAAGUGCAAAUUUUGGAUCGGACUCCUGAUUUAUUUUAUUUGGGAAUCGUUGCAAUUAAAGCCUGAUCAGUUCCUAUUAAUUAAAGGCGCUCUCUCUACUCUGAACCCAGCCCUUAUCUUUGCUCUUUCUACUUUCAACCUUCUCUCCGCCGGGAUUCCUCCAUAGAAUGGAGAUCUUGGUCUCAAGUCAAGGUCUUCCUUUCUCUUUCUCUGUUUUUGUUUUAGGUUUAAUAAAAUCUUUCUUAGAAUAUUCUAAUGAGAGUUUUGUCUCUUCUAAUGUUUUACUAGUGAGAGUUUUCAUAUCUCACAGGUUAUUCUAGCUGGAAUUUUGUUUAGUUUUUGUUAUUUUUCUCUUAGAUCUAAGAGUUUUUUUCAAAUCUAUAUAUUAGAUAUGGAUUUCUUGAAUCUUUUUGUCCGAUCUCAACAUUAGUUUUGAAUUUGAACCAAUUUGGUAGAAGAUCUAAGGGAAUAGAUGGGUGUAGACAUUUAUGGAGCAGCUCUGUAAUUGAUUAGAUAUGAUAAUUUGUAAUUCAUAGUGUAAUCUUUUAUAUUUUAUAACUUUGAUAAAUUUAAUGAUUUUUUAUAUCACAUAUAUUUGCUAUAUGUUCUAUGUAUUUUCUACCAUUUGUGCAGUUUUAUUUAUCAAACAAAUCGUGUUGGACGAUUUUUAGCUAGUUUAUUAAUAAUAUUGGCUUAUUUUUUUAUCAGAAAAGUUCCUAUUAAUUAAUGAACAACUGCCUUACUAAAAAAAAAAUAGGUACCUUGGUUCGGCUGCUUUUCUUUUCCCUUUGUUGUUAGAGUGUAUGUGAAUGUAUUUUGUUUGCACAGUGAAUUAUUUGUCAAAAUUUACAUCAUUAACACAUUUUUUAACCACCUUUUUAUCUCAUAUACAUCACAUCAAUAAAUUGUUAUAGUAUUUUUAAAAAAAAAAAUUAUUCCAAAUAAUCUACUAUCCAAACUUACUUCUUUGAGUUGAUGAAUGUCAUCACAUAAUCCAAUUUUAUAAAUAAAAAAUGAUUUGUUAGUAAAAAUAAAAAUAUUAUUAGUUAAUAAAACUAAAAUUAUUUAUACCUAAAAUGUAACAUAUAUUAUUAACUAACAAAUAACCUAAUAUUUGACAGGCAUAUAGAAAAUAGAAAUGUAUGGAAUAGUAAACUCGACGCCUACAAUUUUUGUGUUUCUUACUACAGUGUAAGUACUUCGGAGUGGGAAUGAGUUUUCCUUAGACUUUUCCAAAUUUACGUUAUUAAAAAGUUAAUUUUAAUAUUAUUAAGUCAUAUAUGUCUAAAUCAAUUAUUUAUAGAAUGUCUUCUUAUUUAGUAGUGUAGUAGUAAAUCAACUCUAAGUAGGGGAGGGAUGAGUUAGGUGGUACGGAGUAUACCCCCGCCCCAUCCCCCGCCCUGCCACCCGCAAAACCAAAAAAAAUAUAUAUAUAUAUAUAUAUAUAUAUAUAUAUAAUAUGUAAGUUAAUUAGUUAUAAACUUAUGAUAAUGAUAUUAUUAGUUAGAUGUAUUAUAUAAUGUAUAUUAGUUUAUGUAAUAUAAUUGAUAUUAUCAAUUAUAUGAAUAAUUAUACAUGUCUACUAAUAGAAUUUAUUAAUUAGUUAUACUAAAUUUACUAAUACUUUUAUACUAAAUUUCUAAUUACACUUAAUAGAAUAACACCUUUUUCUCAAAAAAAAGCACAAACACAAUAAAGAAUUAGUGAUUGCAUUUGUACUAAAAGUGAAAACUUAACUAUUUUAGUUAUAUUUAUUUCAUCAUAUUGGAUUGUAUUCAAAUAACUUCUAUUUGAUUGUUUUUAUGAGUUUCAAUUGUAAAAUUACAAUGAAUAAUAAUUUGGUGAUGUGUUGAUAUUUUAGUACUUGAUUAUUUAUUAAAAUUUAAUUAUAAUAAAAUUUUAUUAACCCCGCGGGGGCACCCGCGGGGGAAGCGGGGCGGGGCGGGGGGAGCAGGAGGCGGGGGACGGGGGGAACUAAUAGGCAACGGGGCGGGGGGCGGGGGACCACUCCCCCGCCCCAACCCCGCUGACAAGGGUUUAUUUUACGUAUUUUCAGUGUGUUUUAUUAGUUAAUUUUGGUUUGAUUAUUUAGUUUUAUAACUAAAAUAACUAAGGUUUUGGUAAAAAACUACAUUUUAUGUUAAAAUGGCUAAACAUUGCAUUUUAUGGAUUUUUAUGGUAAAAACUUCAUAUUUUGUAGGUUUAAUGAUUCAAUCAUCAAUGAAGUGCAUUGAGAAGAUAUUUGGAUGAUUGAAGAUGGAUUAAAGUGGGGAAAAUAAAAUAUGAAGUGUAAAAGGAAGAAAUGCAAUUUGAGGACAAAAUCAAGAAAAGUCAGCUUUGACAACUUAGAUACAUUUUCGUAUUUUGACUAUAUCAGGAGCUACAAUGAUCGGAUCAAGGUGAUCUUGGUACCAUUUUGAAGCUAAGAGAUAUAUCUACAUUUGGUAUGAAGACAUCAAAGUCCAAUUCAGCCGUUUUCUUGGUCAAAAGGUCGAAACACAAAAACUUAUCUGGAUGGUCGAAAGCUGAAGCCCAGAAUUGACCAGUCUAUGGUAUUUUGACCAUAUCUCCGUCCACCGAUCUCCAAAUUAGAUGAUUCUUGAAGCAUUGGAACUCUAAUUCAAAGGGCUACAACUUUUGUGUUUUGCACAAAAGCCAGUUCGGCCUUCAUCAUGGAGAAAAAUGCAGUUGAAGUGAGGUCAAAAGUAAAAACGUGUCUGGCAGCCGAAUUUCUGUAAUUUGCUCAGCCAUUUUUCUCAUCUUCACACUACUUUCCAGCUAGAGUUGGAGAGAAAACGUAGGCUGCACAUGCUUCAGAAGACAUAAGGAAGAGAUAUAGCCAAAGUUCCAAAUCAAAAGCCAUUAUUUUUGACUCCCUUAACAAAUUCAGAUUUGGAGAAUCAUAGCAGAAAUUUUUGACUGGUAAGGGAAGGACUUUUCAUCAGCUUAUAUGCAGAGACAUUUGAGGUCUAGGAAACAGAUACGGGAGAAGCUUGAAGAGUGCAGAAAUGUAGUUCUUCCAUUUCCUUAGUGUAGGAUAGUGUAGUAAGUGUAGUUCAUCCAUUCUUGUAUAAUGGCUAGAUUAGGAUGAAAAUGGAGAUGAAGAAAGAGAAGUUGAAGCUCAAGUGACAUGGGUUAUCUCUUCUCCAACUCUUUAUCUUUUGUAUUGGAUUCUUAAAUAUAGUUAAUAUGCAAGUUCUGGAAUUUAUGUCUACUAUGUGUUUCUAAAGUUUAUGCCUUGGGUUUGGUUGAACUUUCUAUGAUUGUUAGUGUUUAUCAUUUGGCUAUUUAACUGCUAUGAUUUGAGCAAGUUAUUUAGCACUUUAGCUCUUUAAAUCAUGAUUAAUCUGGUACCAUUAAUUGUGAUUAUCUAAGGUGUUGUUUCUGCAAUGAAAAUUGAGAUUUAACAUUGGUUCAAGAAGUGCUAAACAUAGGGAGUACACUCACGAAAGUAGAGGUGCACCUAUGUGGUUUUUAGUGAUUCAUUUCAUGUAAUUUCACUGAAGAAAUGAACUUGUAGCUAAUUUCAUAACCAUGAGAAUAGGUAUGGAUUAGUUAUAAGUAUAAUUGAUUCACUACGAAAGUAGGAUUCAAAUGCAUAAGGAAAUUACACCAUAAUUAGCCUAGAUGUAGUAAUUAAUGAUCUAAAUAUAACACUUGCAUGAGUAGCUAGGGAUACCACAACCCAAGGAGCUUUCAUUUGUUAUUUUGUAUAAUUUCAGUAGGAUAAAUUUAUUAUGAUUCAUUGAUAGUCUAAAUAAUAGAGAAACUUUAGUAAUACCGGUAAUUGUUCACUCUUCCCUGUGGGAUCGACCCGAUAUAUACCCUAAACUACUAGUUGAUCUGUAUACUUGCAGUGAACGGGUGUAAUUCGGUAUUUUUUAGCUUGCACGUAUGUAAAAUACCCGUCAAGUUUUUGGCGCCGUUGCCGGGGAAGAUUUGGCAAUAUCGGUGUGAAGAGCAACUUUAUUAAUUUAGACAAUUUUUCUUAUUUUUGUUGUUUUUGUUGUAUCUUGUGUGUUUUAUGUCAUUUUUUUGAGUCAAUUUUUAGUAUUAUUAUUUUUUUUUUUCUGUUUUAGUUUGUGUCUUGGAAUCUAUCCUUCUUAACUAAUCUUGCUCUUAAGUUGUUUAAAAGCAAUUUUAGGUGAUGAGAAUGAUAGGUCAAUUUGGAGGACAAUGCUUGAGAAAUGGAAGAUUGGCAAUGGAUGGUUACCAAGUGCAAAGCUCCUUCAACAGAGGUAACCAAGAAUUUACUGAUUGUAUGUCUUUUGAAGAUGGUUUAAGGUGCUUAAAGGCAAAAUUUGAUGUUAUGAUGGACACAAUUAUGCAUGAAAUUGAGCAAGGGAGGAAUGUUAAUGAUUUUAAUUCUUAUCAUGUGAUUUGUGACUUGUGUGGAGGUUAUCAUGCUACUAAUACAUGUAUGCAAGCACAAAAUGUGGAUUAUUAUGAUGAAUUAGAGCAUUACAAUCCUUGUUUUGAUCAAUAUAGUGCUAAUUGGAACAAUUCUCCUGUGUGUGGUUGGGAUAAUCAAUGUACUUAUAAUAAUUCCUCAUAUUUUUACGAUUACCAACCUGAAUGUAUCCAAUAUGAAUCAAAACCAUCUUGGGAGUUGGCAAUUGAAAUGGUAGCUAAUGAUUCUAAGCUAUCUUGGGAGUUAGCUUUAGAAAAAUUAGCUAAUGCAACUUCCAACCGUUUUGAUAGGGUUGAAGAAAGAAUAGAUGAACUGACUUCUCACUUUAGUAGAAUACAAGAGAAAUUGAAUGCAUUGUGUGAAGUUAUUUCCUCUAAAAAUUUGCAAAAUGAUCCUAGCAUGAAUGGUAGGAAUGUUGUAUGUGAAAAUGGAUUAUAUUUGGAUGAAAAUGAUGAAUUUCAAUUGUGUUUUAAUGAGCAAAUAUCCAUUUCACAUGAUAAUAUCUUUGGAACUAACUUUGAGCCUCAAGAGGUGAGUUUUAAUGACUCAUUUUUCACCCCUCUUGAGGAGUGCAUUGGAAGUAUAGGUUCUAAGGGUAUUGCUGCCCAGGAUACUCUCAUGACAUUUCCGUUGGUAAGUUCUCAAGUGGUGCAUAUUCAAGGUAAUAUUUAUGAAACACUUGGGAUAGGUAAGUCAAUUCCAUUUCUCCUAUCAUUAGAUCAUGCGACUUUUGCUAUAAAUUCACCAUUUAAUGAUCCACCACGACCAAAAAUGGUGGAUUAUUCUUUAACUAAGCCUCCUUGAAAAAUGAGGUGAAAUAGUCAAGCUAUUGACUUUAAAGAAGCGCUUAUUGGGAGGCAACCCAAUGUUUGUUUAAGUUUAUGUUAUUUUGGGGUGAUUUUAUGUUUAAAGUAUAUGUUUGAGUUAUUUUGUUAUUUUUCAUUUGUAGGUAUUGGAAAUGGAAGCAAAAGUGACCAAAUGAGGUGAAAAAGGCGAAAUUUGAUCAAGGAACUCAAACCCUCAAUUUGAGUAAUUGUUGUUUUUGAUUUGUUAGAAGGGGUUAAAAUGCAUAUUUUGAUCAUUUUACAUGUGCAUGCAUUGAGAAUUUUAGCAAACAAAUGAUCUAUGAUGCAUUUUGAGUGAUUGGGGUACAAAUGGUAAUUUUUCAAAAUUGGCUUUCUGCAAAAAAUUUCGCAGAAGAAAACGCACUUGGGCUGAAAACGCGCCUUAGAAUCGCGUUUUCCAUAAUCGCGUUUUAAAUUCUGCGCCUAUACUGAAUAAAACGCGACUUAAAAACGUGACAGAAAGUCGCGUUUUCUACAAAGUCGCGUUUUCCAGCCUGUUCAGAAACCAAAAACGCGACUUCAAAUACGCGGCUCAAAGUCGCGUUUUUAAGCAUAGUCGCGUUUUCGAUCCUGCAAGAUAUGUGAAGAAACGCGACUUCAUAAAACGCGGCUUGGUGGCGCGUUUUGAUGAGUCGCGUUUUCGGAGAAAAAAAAAAUGCAGAUUCCUUGAUUCUCUUUUUUCUUCUUUUCCUCAUAUAUUUUCUUGUACCUUGAGUUGCUUAUUGUAUAUUGUAUAUAGGUACAUCACCAAAACAAAGGUUUGAAAUUACGGAUCGCCGUUUUGUUUUAUUAAGCCUUUGUUAUCACUUUUGUUUCUUAUUUUCUAUGUUUCGAUUAUUAUUACUAAUGGUUAUUCAAUGGAACUUAUGAAGCGUUGGAGAUAAACGGACAAUGGAUUUUGAAGCUUCAUAUUCAAUCACAUCAUAGGGGAGUAUUACUUUCUUUAUCUUGAUUUUCCUUUUUACACAUUGAGGACAAUGUGUAUGUUAAGUGUGGGGGGAGAAUUGAGAUUAUAUAUAUUGUAUGUGAUUGAAUUAUUAGUUGCAAAUAUUGGACUUGUGUUAAAAUUCAAAAUUUUUCUACAAUCUUGUCCAAAAUUGCAAACUUGCCCCAAAAAGUUUCAAUUUUUUCGAUUUUAUCCAAAGGGGUAACAAGUUUCAUACCAUUAGUAGUUCAAAUUCCUUCUACAUUUGAGAUAAAUAUAUAUGAUUUGGAAACUUCUUUUCUUAUUUAACUUGGAAAUGACUAUUAUGUGAUUAUAAUUUUGCAUUUGUAGGAAAAUAUAUCUUGUGAAGUGGAGAAAAUUAUGCCUAUAUUUUUUUUUGCAUAUUUGAUGAAAUUUCUUCUCUUUAUUGGAUUUUAUAAGUUAAGUGAUAAAUAUGGUCAAUAAGUGCAAUACUCUUCUCAUGAUUAUUUUUUUAGAAAAUUAUUAUUCUCUUUGCUAUAAAAAAAAAUGAAAAAAAAAUGAUGAAAAAUGAAAAAAAUGAAGAAAAAGAGAAAAACAAAAAACAAAAGAAAAAAGAAAAAAAAUAAAAAUUCUUCUACUCCAAUGAUUCUUGUACUUAGUAACUGGGAGUCUUCAUCUACAAAUGUCGACUUUCGCGUAAAACGGUACUUGAAUUAAGAGUAUGCAAAGCAACUUGAGUAUGUGAAGUGUUGAGUAACCGGUGAUCUUCAUCUAAAAAUGUCGAUCCUCGCGUCAAAAGGCAUUCUCACGUCUUAAGUAAUAUUUAGAUAUGUAAUAUUAAUAAAUAUCUUUUUAAACAGAAUUAAAAGAUGAUCAUGAGUUUAGGAAGCAUUAUUAUUGACCAUAUGAGUUGCUUGCUUGUGAAAUCAGGUAAGGAUGAAAAAUCGAUUUGAAUUUGUUAUAAUGAUGGUAUAAUUGGCUCUCCUUUACUUGAUAUUAUGAGCACUUGAACUUAAUUGAAUAAUUGCAUAAUGGUUAUUUACUUUGUUUUGAGGAAAUGAAGUUGAAAUGCUACAUAUGUUUAUUUUCAAAUUUUGGAUCAUUGUUGGUUUGUAUUUUUAUUGCUUGAGGACAAGCAAUGGUUCAAGUGUGGGGGUAUUUGACAAGGGUUUAUUUUACGUAUUUUUAGUGUGUUUUAUUAGUUAAUUUUGGUUUGAUUAUUUAGUUUUAUAACUAAAAUAACUAAGGUUUUGGUAAAAAACUACAUUUUAUGUUAAAAUGGCUAAACAUUGCAUUUUAUGGAUUUUUAUGGUAAAAACUUCAUAUUUUGUAGGUUUAAUGAUUCAAUCAUCAAAUGAAGUGCAUUGAGAAGAUAUUUGGAUGAUUGAAGAUGGAUUAAAGUGGGGAAAAUAAAAUAUGAAGUGUAAAAGGAAGAAAUGCAAUUUGAGGACAAAAAUCAAGAAAAGUCAGCUUUGACAACUCAGACACAUUUUCGUAUUUUGACUAUAUCAGGAGCUACAAUGAUCGGAUCAAGGUGAUCUUGGUACCAUUUUGAAGCUAAGAGAUAUAUCUACAUUUGGUAUGAAGACAUCAAAGUCCAAUUCAGCCGUUUUCUUGGUCAAAAGGUCGAAACACAGAAACUUAUCUGGAUGGUCGAAAGCUGAAGCCCAGAAUUGACCAGUCUAUGGUAUUUUGACCAUAUCUCCGUCCACCGAUCUCCAAAUUAGAUGAUUCUUGAAGCAUUGGAACUCUAAUUCAAAGGGCUACAACUUUUGUGUUUUGCACAAAAGCCAGUUCGGCCUUCAUCAUGGAGAAAAAUGCAGUUGAAGUGAGGUCAAAAGUAAAAACGUGUCUGGCAGCCGAAUUUCUGUAAUUUGCUCAGCCAUUUUUCUCAUCUUCACACUACUUUCCAGCUAGAGUUGGAGAGAAAACGUAGGCUGCACAUGCUUCAGAAGACAUAAGGAAGAGAUAUAGCCAAAGUUCCAAGUCAAAAGCCAUUAUUUUUGACUCCCUUAACAAAUUCAGAUUUGGAGAAUCAUAGCAGAAAUUUUUGACUGGUAAGGGAAGGACUUUUCAUCAGCUUAUAUGCAGAGACAUUUGAGGUCUAGGAAACAGAUACGGGAGAAGCUUGAAGAGUGCAGAAAUGUAGUUCUUCCAUUUCCUUAGUGUAGGAUAGUGUAGUAAGUGUAGUUCAUCCAUUCUUGUAUAAUGGCUAGAUUAGGAUGAAAAUGGAGAUGAAGAAAGAGAAGUUGAAGCUCAAGUGACAUGGGUUAUCUCUUCUCCAACUCUUUAUCUUUUGUAUUGGAUUCUUAAAUAUAGUUAAUAUGCAAGUUCUGGAAUUUAUGUUAUAUGUGUUUCUAAAGUUUAUGCCUUGGGUUUGGUUGAACUUUCUAUGAUUGUUAGUGUUUAUCAUUUGGCUAUUUAACUGCUAUGAUUUGAGCAAGUUAUUUAGCACUUUAGCUCUUUAAAUCAUGAUUAAUCUGGUACCAUUAAUUGUGAUUAUCUAAGGUGUUGUUUCUGCAAUGAAAAUUGAGAUUUAACAUUAGUUCAAGAAGUGCUAAACAUAGGGAGUACACUCACGAAAGUAGAGGUGCACCUAUGUGGUUUUUAGUGAUUCAUUUCAUGUAAUUUCACUGAAGAAAUGAACUUGUAGCUAAUUUCAUAACCAUGAGAAUAGGUAUGGAUUAGUUAUAAGUAUAAUUGAUUCACUACGAAAGUAGGAUUCAAAUGCAUAAGGAAAUUACACCAUAAUUAGCCUAGAUGUAGUAAUUAAUGAUCUAAAUAUAACACUUGCAUGAGUAGCUAGGGAUACCACAACCCAAGGAGCUUUCAUUUGUUAUUUUGUAUAAUUUCAGUAGGAUAAAUUUAUUAUGAUUCAUUGAUAGUCUAAAUAAUAGAGAAACUUUAGUAAUACCGGUAAUUGUUCACUCUUCCCUGUGGGAUCGACCCGAUAUAUACCCUAAACUACUAGUUGAUCUGUAUACUUGCAGUGAACGGGUGUAAUUCGGUAUUUUUUAGCUUGCACGUAUGUAAAAUACCCGUCACCCGCCCCGUUGCCAUCCCUACCCCGAACCUAUUGGAUGGUAACACUUUAGGACUUUACCACCAUGUUUCGUACUUUUAAUUUUGACAACUCAUAUGCAUAGUUUUCUUUUCAAAUUACCCCUAAUUUCUCAAUAGUCAACUUUUAUACCGUUGUAUUUUCUAUUAUAUAUUCACUAUAAUAUUCUACUAUUACAUGCUAUGAUAUUAGAUUAUAGUAUAAAUUAAAUAAAAAAAAUUCCACCAAUCGCCGCCUUAUACUCGUCCUUUUUCAGGACCAUGUGGGCACUUUCAUUGUGACCACUAUUAUUUUUUAUUUGACAUAAUUUUUUAAAAUAUAUAUAUAUAACAUCAAUAACAAUCAUAAUUAUCAGUCUUUUGAAUAUUUGGCCAAAAAUAACAAAUGUAUUUCAGUCAUUUUUUCACAUUUGAAAUUAUGCAAAUCUAAAUCAAUGUCUAUGGAUUUUUUUACAAACAAUAUUCAAGAUGUGACAAAUAAAAAAUCAAGCAAAUUGACAUAACAAAAUCAUAGUUUUACUACAAAACAUAAAUAAUUGCCAAGAAAGGGUACAUUAUUUUAUCACAACAAAAUGCUAUUUUGUUAGUUUUAAAUUACAGUUUCUACAUACAUAUUACUACUAAUACAUUAUAUAAUAGGUGAAGGCAGAGCGAAUAGAGUUCUAUUUAAACUGAUGCUAAAUUAUACACAAGUCUACACAAUAAGUUAGUUAAACUGAUGUCCAACAUCACAUCAUGCAAUAGUAGAAUUUUUUGAUGAAUAUAUAAUAAGAGAAUGCAACAAGUUAAAAGCUGACUACUAAGAAAAUAAGAAGGUUGGGUAUAAUUUGGAAAGCAAAAUAUGUACAUGAGCUUGUCAAAAUUAAAAGUACAAAUAUAAUUCAUUUGGGGGUAAAAUAUAUAUUUUUAAAAUUUAGGGUGGUGAAGUGCUACCACCCCGUAAAUUCAGGGGAACGAGGUGUUAUUAACCAAAAGGUGCACUUCAUGCAUCAAUGUUUGGACAUGUAAGCAAAAAGAUGGCCAUUGGCCAAAAAAAACUGGCUGGGUAAAAAAUUAUGAAUGCAUAAAUUCGAUUCAUUGGAAAGUUGAGCAGUCGGAGGACAGCCAUGUGACACAAUGAUUGAACACUGUAUAGCCAAAAUUUUAAAAAAAAAUGCAAAAUGAUGGACGAAAAAGGGCAGCGAAAGGCAUGAUCAGAGAGCAAAAGUGCUUCUUACUGGACUAACCCCCUCUCUAUUGCAUUGGAAGCAAUAUCGAAGGGGCAGUUUUAUUUUAAAAUAUAAGGAAGGGGGCAAAGUGCCUAUUUAUUGAAUUGAGAAAAGUAAAGUAUAAUUGAGAGUAAAUUUUAGAACCGGUUAAUGCUUUUAACAUUAAAAUUAAUUUAAAAUUUAUUUUCAAAAAUCAACACCGCUCAUAAUAUAUUUUAUUCUUUGUGUUAAUUAGAAAGAGAAUUUUGUAUGAAAGUUAUCAAGUUUUAUCAUUUGAUUGAUCAGUACAAAUUUUGUCACGAUUUUGACCCAUUUUUACCAUUCAAAUGUUUUGUGUAAAUUAAAUUUCAAAAUAUUUUAAAAAAUAUCAUCUCUUAGUAUGUUGAUUUAAAAAUCAAAAGAAAAGCAAUGACACAAUUGCAUAAAUCAAUAAUAUUAUCUAAAUUUAAAUAUAAAUAAAUUAGAGAAACCAAUAGAGAGAAAUUUAAUGGAGAGGAUCCUAACACAUUGCUGUUAUGUACUUCCUUCGUCCCAAUGGAAGGGACGCUAUUCAAAAUUUUAGGUUGUGUUUAGAUUGCAAUUUUCUGGAGUUCUUGUAGAAAAUGUAUUAUAACGAUUUGAUACAUGUGCAGUAAAAAAGUGAUUGGGAAAUGUUUUCAUGAAAAACGUAUAGAUUUUUUUGGUAAAAAACCCAUUUCCAAAGAAGGCCUUAACUUUUUAAGCAAAGUAGAAGCAGAUUUGUAUUUGAGCUGUUUGUACCCUCUUUGCCCCCGUUCUUUUUUUUUUUACAGCAAUGAUAACAUUUUUAUACCCUAAUUUAAGGGGGAUGGGAGUCUAAAGAAACUAUGUAUAAGGGACUAGUAAAUAUAAGAACUUAUUAAACCAAAGAGGUGUUCUGACACCUCCGUUGAAUUUUUUUCAUUAUAGGUAGAGUUCGAAUCCCUGACCUACAACACAAAGAGGGACUUUAAUCUCUUUUUGAUGAGGGACUUUAAUCUCUUUUUGAUGGGUACUGUGAUUUGGCUCGGCGGUUCUCUUUGCCAGUGACAGAGCCAGGAUUUUUUUUUGGGGGGGCCAAAAUUUUUUCCUAAUAAAAUUAUCUUAAUAUAUUAUGUUCAAAAUAAUUUUCUUCUAUUUAAGUAUAUGACAUCUAAAAAUAUCAAAUAUUAAAUUUAAUUAUAAAGGUAUGUCUAUUCAUAAAUAUGCGGUAUAGUCAUAACAAAAAUUAACAAAAAAGAUAACUUUUGAUUAAAUAUUUUAUAACAUCACAAACCAUACAAUUUGCACAUUAUGAGAAGAUGCUCUCCAAUAUGUCACCUAUGCAAUAUAUAUAACCAUGUAAUAUAAAGGUAACUAUUUUCAAUUGAAAAAAGAUAAAAGUUAUGUUAACAUAAUUUGAAAUUUCAACAUCUUUUCUUAGAAGUAAAUUGAGCUCUACGCUCUUUCAUAGAACUAAAUUCAUCUAUAAUUGAAUCACUGCUAAAUUUUUUAGCAACUUCCUUUUCUAUAUACACAGUUAAACAAUCAUUCAAGAAAUUAUCUUCCAUCUUGUUUCGGAGCUUUGUCUUGAUUAUUUUCAUAAUUGAAAAUGCCUGCUCUGUAGUUGCAGUUGAUAUAGGAAGAGUAAGAACAAGUCUAAUAAAUCUGUCAAUAAGAGGAUAUAUCACUGAUUUUCUUGUCUUCACCAAGCCUUGACAUAACUCAUGAAUACCAGAUAAUUCUUGCAAUUCAUGAUGAUUUGGAAUGUCGAGAUCAAAAUAUUGAAAUUCUAUUCUUAGACGUACUAGUUCUUGCUUUUAACAAUUAUGAAUUGGGUCUUUUUAUUCUAAUACAUCACAUUGGGUCAAUUUACUAUGGAACAUCAAAUUAUAUGUUUAAUUUUUGAAAGUUAAAUAAUUAGUACAAUAAAAAAUAAAUAACUUUUUCUGAAGAAAAAAAGUAAUUCAAAGAUGACUAAUUCAUAUAUAUAUAUAUAUAUAUAUAUAUAUAUAUAUAUAUAUCUCAACUCUUAUAAUAUAAACUAAAAUUGUAAAAAUUUAGGGGAGGCCAAUUUUAUUUUACACACAUAUUUACAUAUUAUGAAUUAAAAUUUUCAAAACUUAGGGGCCAUGGCCCCCUCUGUCCCCCUUGGCUCCAUCAUUGCUCUUUGCCCCAUUGAUAAGUGAAAAAAUUCGUAGAAUCACGAAAGAAGAUGCCGUUGGUCUCCCGACAUUUUAAAUCCAUUUUAUGCACCGUAAGAACCACGCACCAAAGUUGACCACAUAUAUUUGUGGUGCCGUCACACACCAAUUCUUUCUUCCAAAUAUAUUUUUUCAUGGGUCCAAUAAUUCUUUUAUCAAUACCUUUAUUCUAACAAAUCAACAGCCUUUACCUUUGGUAAAAACUACCUACUACAGUUGGAUACGAAUUUUUUUAGUAUAAAGUGUCAUUAAACUCCUUUUAACUCCUUUAAGUCUUUUAGAUCAUGUCGUCUUAUUUAACAUGUUUUAAGAAGUUGAGUACCUCUUUUUGACAAAAAAAAUAUAUUUUAUUUUAAGGAGUCGAAUGAUUCUUUUUGACCAAAAAAUUUUUUAAAAAAAGUUUGAUCACCAAAUAGUAUCAUUUUAAAUAGUUUAGUCACCGUUUUUCAACCAAAAUGGAGGCCUUCACGUGGAAAAUCAACCCUUGCAUCAACGAAGGCUUAUUUAAGUUGUUAUGGCAUCAACGAAAUUUGUCUGGAAACUGGACUCCACAUGGAGAACGGAAAUCAUGCAAGUCUUGCAUGCAAAACACUUGUGGAGAGCAGUAAAUAUAUGGUGAAUAAUGGAAAUCACUACAAGAAAACUAAAGGAAAGCCUGAAUCACACCCCAUGGCUGGUGGAAAUGAUUCUAAGAGCUAAGCCUGAAACAUUUUUUUUUUCAUUUUUCAUUUUUCAUUUUCACAAAACCAUUCCAUCACAUACCACUCAAUUGACAUUGUGCAUGUGAAUUUUUGUGUCACACUUCCUAUAGAAAGGGGUGAUUGAAGCUGCAAAAUGUGAAAUUGUACAAGCAAUUAAGGAGAAGCUGGAAAACGACUGGCCAAAGACAUUUGUGAUUGCUGAUUAUGGAUGUUCCACUGGACCCAAUGCAUUCCUUGCAGUACAGAACAUUGUUGAAGCAGUGGAGCUAAAGAACAAAUCUCUGCAACAGAGCCCACCUCUCGACGUCCAUGUUUUCUUCAAUGAUCUUGUAGACAAUGAUUUCAAUACUCUCUUCAAAUCCCUCCCUUCACCCCGAAGAUAAUUUGCUGCAGCUGUACCUGGCUCCUUCUACAAGCGUUUAUUCCCUAAAGCUAGCCUUCAUUUGGCUAAUUCUUCUUAUGCACGCCAUUGGUUUCAAGGUUCCAGAAGAAGUUGGAGAUCAUAAUUCAUUAGCAUGGAACAAAAGCAAGACAUAUUGUUCGGGCACAAACAAAGAAGUCACAGAGGCAUAUUUUGCUCAGUUCCGGAAAGAUCUCAACAGGUUUCUGAAUGCUAGAGCAGAAGAACUUGUCAUAGGCGGCCUUUUGGUGAUUUAAUUACCCGGUGUUCCGAGCGGCACCCUUCCUUUUAAUACCGGUGCAGGCUUCCUCCAAGAGCUGUUAGGAUCAUGUCUUUUUGAGAUGGCCAACUUGGUAGGAUCUGACAAUUUCCAUCUUCAUUUUAAUUUGAUCUGUAAUGCAAGUAUUGGGGGUCACACUCAUCAGUUCAAAUGAUUUCUUCUGGCUUUGUGGCAGCUUGUUUAUGUAUGCUGCAGGGAUUUAUCAGUCUAGAAAAAGUGUAUUCAUUCAACUUGCCAAUGUACUUUCCAUCAAUUGAAGAAUUAGACCUGGUUAUAAAAGGGAAUGGUCAAUUUAAAGCAGAAAGAAUAAAGAUAUUGGAUCACCCAAUGCAGCACUUGCCUUUUGAUGCAAAAAUGACUUGCUUGCAGACCAGAUCUGUCUUUGAGGGCUUCAUCAAAGACCAUUUCGAAAUAGACAUUGUCGAUCAACUGUUCGAUCUAUUUGCUAAGAAACUUGAAGAAAGUUGCUCAAUCUUUGAUCAGGAAAUUCGCAAAGAUACUGACCGAUUUGUUCUGCUCAAACGCGUCUGUUGACGGAUUGUUGAUUGGUUGAUUUACUAUCUAAACUGAUAUGCACUUAUUUUUGUCUCAUAAAGUAUCACCAAAGUUAUGGUGACAUUUCUUUUCUCUCAACUGUUGAUUGUCUACAUACUUGAUCAUAUUCAUGAUAUUCAACUCUCACGUAGAGCUGAGAUUUUCUCAAGUCAAUUUUCUUUGCUGGAUUUGGGUUCUCAUUCUACUUGGCCAUUAUGCUUUGAUCUAAAAGACUAGAUUAUAGUUUUCUCAAAUAAAUGGCUCCUCGAGUCAAGUUUUCAGGAAAACCUACUCGUCAGCUGAUGUUUUGGCUCCUUUACAAUCUCAUCCUCAACAGUGAACGACAGCUAUUCUUAUAUAUCCUUGAGGGACUUACCAUGAGACAUUCGGGCGAAAGUUGCUUUAGAUUGUGUAGGUAUGUCUAGUUCAAAUUGAUUCGUGCAAGUCUUAAUCCAUCGGUGUAACACAUACAGUUUUGAUAUAAUGGUGAACUUUACACCAAAAUAGUUAUAUGAGUUGAUAAUUCAAAUUUGUACUCAAGUUAUAGGAAUUUAUAUCAGAAGUUAUAUAAGAAUUACAUCAACCAGUUUGAACGAGUCAGAAUUCAACUUGUCAGGCAUGUUUCCCUUAGUUAUCUGACUGCGCUAAUCUUUGUGAAGUAUAGACUAUAAAUUGCAUCUUCUGGACCGUUAGACAAUGAUUUAUGCUGUUUUAUGCUCCGGAAAUUUACUUGCUCCUUUUCUUCUCAGUCUUCAUAAACAGAGUUAGUAAUAAUGUAUUUGGUAACGUUUUUUUAUUUCUCUUUUUUGCUAUCUAAAUUUGGUCAAAGUCAUCCAAGACUGUAUGCUCAAAACUAAGCGAAACAUUUCAUCAAAAGUUGAUUAGUUGUAGCUUGUCCUGAAUUUCCAUUUUGAAUUUGCUAAGGGAAAUAUUAUUUGCACUCCAUUUUUUAUUAUUUAUACUCUCACUGUUUUUUUUAUCAUAUACUCUAGUAAAUGAAAAUUAUAUAAUUAAAAUAAUAAUGAAAAUGUGAUUAACAAAAAUAGGAGUGUAAAUAACAUUUUCCUUUUCUAAAUAUUUCUAGACAACGCUCCAAACUGACUGUCCUUCUCAAGAUCUUUCCUUGAACCUUGUGUUGACAGAAGUAAUUCUUAAAUGUCCACUUGGUUUGACCCCAUAAAUUGUGCCAUCAACACAAGUUGGCUUAGUUGGUAAGGACCUGUAAUUUCCUUAUAAAAGCUCAUUUAUUUGAAUUUCGUUGUCGAUGUGAGAACUGUGUUGAUGGACGAUCCGUAAAAACCUUUAUAAACGACAUGUGAUUCCGGAAGCAUACUUUGACGCAUGGUGUUGACUGAAGGCGAACUUACCCAAACUUUUUUUAAUCGAAAAAAAAAAUGUCUGCAUUACUUUCACCAGCCGCCUAGUGGCCUACUAAUGCCUGUAGUUACCCUUGAGGUGCCGGUCAAUUAAGUACAAUUACUAGUCCAGUGCGCGCUUUGCUCUAGAGGGCGUAGUUUUAAUUUUUAAAUGGAUUAUUAUCACUUUACCCCCUUAAACUAUAUCACUGCUAUCAGUUUAUCCCCUAACGUUAUCUUUUAAUCACUUUACCCCCAUAAGUAAUUCAACUCAACAUGUUAAGAAAUUUUAGACAAAAAUACCCUUUUAUUUUAUAGCAUUACUACAAUGUUAUUAUCAAUUUAUUUGUUUAGAUUAUAGUGAUACAAUCAUUUUAAUUCCUAACAUUAUUUUCUAGGCAUUUAUCUCAUUGUUAAUCUAACUAGUAUGGUAAAAAAUUUUAAAUAUAUUUACCCUUUUAUAUAUAAUUAAAAAUAAAAAAAUUGGAAUGGUUAUUCUUCUUUUUUUCACUUUGAGAGAUUGAAAAACAUAAAAAUAAAAGGGUUUUCUCAAAUUUCUUUUUUUCACACUUAUUAAUACUAGGAAAAGAAAAAAAGAUAGAAAAGAAGAAGAAAGAAAAUUAGAUUUUGCAAAGAAAGAAAAUAAAGAAAAGUCUAACAUUAUCGUAUUACAUUAAGGUUGUCGGGAUUAGGAUUGGAAUUUGGUAGUAAACAGAAAAGUGAAAUAAUUUUAAAAUAAUAAAGUAUUCAAUUCUUCCUUAUUUGUAAUUUUUAAAAAAAGAAUUGAGCUCACUCCCUCUCCCCCUCCCCCUCUCCAUCUUUCUAUUCUUUUUUGAUAUUAAUAAGAUUGCCAAGAAGAAAUAAAUUAAUAUUUUGACUUUUUUCCUUGAUACUAAAAAGGAGAAGAGCUCUCUAAAUUUUUUAUUAUUUUUAUUAUGCAAAGAGGAAUGUAUUUUCUUCUAAAGUUUUUUAACUUGCUAAGUUGGUUUAAUGAUAUGAUAAAUUGUCUAAAAAAUAACUCUAUGGGAUAAAUUGAUAAUGAGACCAUAGUUUAUGGGGGUAAAAUGAUAAUAAUUUUAAGGGUUAAACAUGUCUUUUUAUUUUAAUUAACAAAUUCGGUUAAGUUUGACCGUUAGUCUUGGAGGUAAAGUGACUAAAAGAUAAAGUUAAGGGGAAAAUUGAUAAUGACACCAAACGGUAAGGGGGUAAAGUGAUAAUAACCCUAUUUAAAUCUUUAAUUGUUACUACUGCUGCAGUUGUGCUUCUUUUUUAAUUAUUGUAUUUUCCUAUUCUAAAUAUUGUAUCAUUUGCGCGAGGUUAGGUUUUUGUCCCUUUCCGCGUGCUUUUAAUUUUGCUUAUAAAUAAAAUUUAGAGCCAACAUCCCUCAUUUAUAGAGUUUUGCCAAAAGAAAAAAAAAGCUCUAACCUAGAGCAUUAGGUGCUGUAUGUCUAUCAGUAUUAAUUUUCAGAUUGUCAAGCGUAGGUACGUUUAAAUAUUCAGGCAACAAAUAUUGAAAAUGGGAGUUGAUAAUGCCACAACUUUAAUGUUAAUGUCAUAAAAAUUCUUGCUUUAUUGUCCACAUUACCCUUCAGGAGUGAAAACUUUUUAAACAAUUUUUUUAUACACCUUCAGUGUAAGGAUUGUUUUACACCAACUGAAUCAUGUCACAUAAAAUAAAUUCAAAUUUAAAAUUUAAAUUAUGCACAUAUGACAUAUAUUUAAAGCUGCUAAUGUAAAAAAUCAAUACAUUAUCAAUGUAUAGAACUUUUUUAUGGGUUCCACUUCUAUUCCUAUCUUUCUUCCUUUCUCACUAAUCCAUCCUUUUUUCCGAAGUUGGCAGGAAAAUACAGCAAUUAUUGCUUGUAUUGCUUGUGAACUGCAAACAAAGCAGCUGCCGUAUCCUCUUUCAUAUCUUUUUCAGAUGGAUGAUUCUAUGGAACUGUACGAGGUGUUCUACAGUAGGUAAAACGUGAUGCAGCUGUCUAGAAGUGGCAAUCGGGUCAAAAAUGGAUUGGCGGAUCAGAUCAAGACCCGGGUAUAACAGGAGGCCCACUGACUCGAACAUAACCCACCAACCCGCGAUGGGUCAACAUGCUUGACCCGAACACGAAAUUUUUAGGUUGGCGGGUCACCUGAUAUGACCCAAAAUAUAAUUCCAAUUUACUAGUCUACCGCUAUAAUUUCAAACAGAACCAAUUAUGCACAAAACUAAUUACAUAAUCAAGUAAUAAAAACCUCAAUAAAACAAUUCCAAACCAGAUUUGAAAUAAAUUAAAAUACAGUAAAAGUGUUUUAUCCCUAACUAGAUUUGAAAUAAAUUAAAACGCUUUAAAUGUAGAAAAUAAUGUAAUACAUCAUUUGUCCAAACAUCACAAUUCUAACUUCACACAAGCUAAACAAAUUCAUUUAGGAUUAAGUAAUUAAUGCCUUGGAGGAAAAAAUAAUAACUUAGUUUAGUUCGAUAAAAUAUUUUUUAUAUUUAUUAAAUUAUUUUUAAUUCAUAAACGGGUUAUCAGGUCAACCCUUAGGUGACCUGAAUUCAAAUGUUUUCUUUCGGGUUCAACGGGUUUGACCCGAUUCUGACUCGAAUCCACAAAAUGUCAACCCAAACCUAUUAAUUUUGUAUUACUUUUGUGUCAUGUUUUCAGGUCGUGGCAGAAAUUGUCAUCCCUAAACCUGUCGCAUCAUUACGUUUGUGAUAGCACAACAAUGUUGACUUGAGUGUGGGGCAAGCUGUAGGAAAUUCAAACGCCUGGCUAGACCAUUGUUUUGAAAACCGGACUACACCCACCGAUUCGACUAGUUGGAUCGCGAGCCAUUCAUAGCUCCGAUUUGGUUCAUAUUUUGGGUUGAUUGGACUUAAAAACUAGAUUGAAUCAUUCGAACUGUGCGAACCAUGCAAACCGGAUUGAAUUGUUGAAUCGAUGGUUUUUUUUGUUUUUGUCUAUUAAAUUGAAAAAAAAUUUAAAAAAGAAUAGGUUUCCUUAACCUUAAAGGCUAAUUAUUAAAUGCCAUAUUCACUCAUUUUCUUCUUAUUUUUUGCCUCUUAUCCUGUUUGCAUCUCUAUUUUCUAUUUUCUUGACUUCCUCCAAACUUCAAACUUCUUUUUUUUUUUAAAUUGCAAUCUCUAAAUCUAAAAAAUGUGAAUUAAAAUUUAAACUCACAAUGUCUAAUUCCCGUAGAUAUGAAUUUUGUAUAAUUUUAGAAUAUUGUGGUAUUUUUGGGUCGGAUUUAAGAUUUUUUUUUUGGUAUAUACAAUUGAAAUUGAGAUGAAAUUUAUUUGUUUCAACUUAUAAUUUAAAAAAAUUAUUUGUUAAAAUCCAUGUUCUUUGAAAAUAUUAAACUUUUCAUCAUAUGAAGUUUUAAAUUAGUCCAUCACAUGUUUUAUUUUGUGCAUAUAUAUUUAUAUAAAUUAUUUUUAAAAAAAAAAUUUAUUGAACCAGGAUUGAAUCGGUACAACCGAUUAAAUUUCGACUCAAAGACCUAAUCGGUUCAAUCAACAGUCUGAGUUUCAAAACAUUGGGCCAGACAAAAGAGUGAUGGUAUAAGGGGUCCACUAAAUUUAUUUUCAUAUGACCAAUUGUUUUGAAUUAUAUGAUAAGGAUAAAGACUUGUGUAACCUCGGCCUAAGCCUACGAGCCAACUUGUAGAUCGAGCAAUGAAAAAUUUGCCACGUCUUCAAAACUUUUUUUUUUCUUAAUAUCUUUAGAAGCUCUUGAGCAUUCUGCUCUGCGUAUGUUUCUUGAACAUGAAAGAAACUCUUUGCUUAGACGUAGGUUGCAAUCUUGGGUGCAGAUCUGGGUUUUCUGCAAACCUUAUGAGCUUAACAACAAAACAUUGAAAUCUAAAUCUUAUAUUUUUUGAGAAAGAAGGGAAGAAGAUACUGUGAACGAGAACGAAAAUGAAGGCCGUGGGUGGUUCUCAACAGUAGUGCUGGUGAUGGCAAAAAGGGAAGGGAAAUGAGCGAAAUCAUGGGUGGGCGAAUGGGUGGAGGUAAGCAAGUGUUGAUAAUGGUGGUGGUGAUGAGUUGGCUGGGCGGUGGAUGGUGGGAAGUACAAGCACUUCUACUGGGGAUUGAGGGCCAUUCGGGAUUGAGAUAAUUUAUUGAAAAAUACUUUUUCAAUAAUUUUUUUAAUAAAAAUGCUUAUUAAGUGCUUAAGUGCUUUUAAAUAUAGUAUUUGAACAUAUAGUUCAAUAAGUACUUAUUGUACUGAAUAAUAUGUUAUUUGAAAAUUUUUAAACGUAUUUAUCUAUUUAUUUAGUUUAUAAUAUAGGAUGAAAUGAUUAAAUUUAUUGUUUUAUUUUUUAAAUCAUAAAAAUUACUCUAAAAGCACCAAAUUUGAAAUUUUGCUAAAAGUGAUUUUAACACCAAAAUCUCCACUCAUAAUUUCAUGUGAUAAUGUUUACCAAACGCAUUAAUAGUGCUUUUAAUAGCUAAAAGUGCUUUUUUUUACUAAAAACACCGCAACCCCAAACGGAUCCGAGAAGUGGAGUUGAGAAGUCUCAGGAAGCAUACUAAUCUGUUGGAGAAGUGAACAAAGCGUGAGUUGUGUUUGAGGGAGUAUUUUGAUUUUUGAAGUAAAAAAAAAUUUAGUUUAAUGAUUUAUGUCGCUCCCCAUUUUUGAAAAAAAAUAAAAUUACGGGUUUAUAAAAUGAAUUUUUGAUUAAUUUUGAGUGAAAAUGAGUUUUUGAUCUUUAAAAAAUAAAUAAAAAAUGGGCCUAAAUGGGACUUAAAAGUGCAACGGUUUUGGCUCCAAAAUAAUAGUCUAAGAAGGGUUUUUUAAGGAAAAUAGAAGUCGCCACUUAGUAUUGAAUUAAGGUGUACAAGUUAGCUAAAAUGAAUUUUUUUAAAAAAGUAGAAAAAACCCUUUUUAAACGACUUCAAGUCUAUGAAAAUUAAGAGAAAAGAGUUUGAGAGUCACGGUUGAAGAAAGGGAAGGCAAGGAUAAAAUCCAAUGCACCCUUUCAACCUAACUAAGGUUAGUUGCGUGAUUUAGUCAAAAAAAUUUCUUAUUUUAACCUAAAAAUUUAUCACACUGGAUGUCACUAUAUGCAUGUAAACCUAGACCAAAUUUAUAUCGGAAGAGUCAAUAUGUCUCUUCGAAUUUUAGUUGGUGCAAAUCGCAUUAAAUUGCGAUGCCCAAAAGUGACUCUUUGAAGAGGUCACGAGUAUGCAAAAUAUGAGAUUCAAAGAAAAGAAAAGAAAAUAAUAAUUAUACAUAUAUACAUGACCUAAAGGAAUGCAUCAUAACGAGUGCGGGAGGGGGGGCUAAAAUUCGUGACUCAAUUUUCCCUUUUAUAGAGGGAAUACGAGUGUGCUAAGGCUUAAGAGGCCAUACUCGUCUAUAUCCCAUAUUUAAAGGGUUAAUUCUCCUAAUUUUUGGCUAAGCAAAUGAACUAACCUAUGUCUAACUUUCCUUAAAUGAAAUGCAAGUCUAAUGUCAUGUUUUUAUACAUAGGGAUAGGGGAUAUUUAUUAGGGGAAAUAUCAUGCAAAAGUGAUCAUAAGGAUCCUAAAAAGUGGGAAAAUAUGCAUGAAAUAUAGUGAUUUGUCACACGAGCAUGAUCUAAUGCGUGGACGGUUUCUAAGGGUCUAACGUUGAACUAACCCAUGUCUAUAAGUUCUCACUAGUGUUGGACUAGUAAGAAAUCGAAAAAAAGGGCCUCAACUAGCGUUGGACUAGUGAGAAAUAGUAAAAAGGGCCACAACUAGCAUUGGACUAGUGUGGUAACGUCAUGCAUUUAUUAUAAUCCCAUAAGUCAUAUAAAACAUAAUAAAAGCAAAUAAACACAUAAAUUACAUAUAGUAUAUAGCACAUAAGUAUGAUAUCUAGAUGCAAAGAUUCUAAAAAAGGGAGUAAACACAUAAGCACACAAGCGUGCAAACAAAUAAAAGCGAAUAAAGACCUAACUAUUACAUUUGGGGGCUCUAACUACAAUCUAAAAGGGGAGAGAAUGAAAUGAAAUGAAAUAAUAAUCUAACUAUUACAAUUUGGCAUUUAAUCGCCUUUCAAAUAAUAAAAAAUUAAAUUAAAAUAAAUAGACAAAAUUAAAACAAAUAAAGUGAAUAAAUAACUAGAUGAGAUAAAAAAAACAUUCAAAAGAGCAUGCCAUUACGCACAAAAAGUCACAUAGGAGCACCUAGGAUCAACUAAAAUCAAAAUAAUGGAGUAGAGUGUACCUCCCUUGAAUUUGUGAGCUAAUGAAAUGAAAUUUCCCUUAUUUAGCUUCUAAUCACAAAGAAAAUGAUUAAGGUAUCGCUUUAAUUAACAAAUAAUCAUAAGAGAUGAAAAUAAACAUGAAAUUGAACAAUUAAAGCAUUUAAAUGAAAGUAAACAACCCAUAUUCAAGAAAUUAAAACAAGUAAGGACCUAAUUGGAAUAAUUAUAGAAGUUUGAGGGGUCAAAUUAUUAUUAUUUCAAAUAUUAAGGGUCUAAAUUAAAAUAAAAUAAAAUUAAGGGCUUAAGAUGAAGCCUACCAAAACAAAAUGCUAACAUUCAUAAAAAAGUCAAAAUCCUCUCAUCAAACCCCAAAACAAAAAUACUACCCAAAUUUUAAUUAUUUUACUACUCCUUUCGUCCCUUUCAUUUGGUUAUACUUUCCAUUUUGGGAUGUCCCAAAACAAUUGUUAUGUUAGAAAAGUCAAAGCAACUUUUACACUUUUUUUCCAAUAUAACCCUUCUUUUUAAUCAUACAUUCAAAUUUAAAAUUUGAAUUUGAGGGGUAAAAUUGGAAAGAGAAGAACAAACAUCACAAUCAAAUCACUAUUUUUAAAAAGUUGGAUUCCCCAAACAUAACCAAAUGAAUGGGACGGAUGGAGUAUAAUUCAAAUAAAAACUAUAAAUCUAUCAAAAAUUAUUAAACCUCAAAUUGCAUCCUAAAAUUCAUAAAUAGUCUGCCCAAAAAUCACAUUAGAGCAUAUCAAAGAAAAAUAGCAUUUUAAAAGGACAAAAUUGAUUAAUUUUUUUAAUUUUUUGGGUCAUAGUAGAAUUAAGUCAAAAUAUGGGGGUCAAAAUGCAAUUUCGGCAACUUUUCAUGCAAAAGCUUUAAAGAAGCUAUUCUUCUUCGCUCGUUUUUUCCUUCUGAAAUUUUGCAGCCUAUUCAACUGAGGUAUCUUAUUCAAUCUCAAACCAAGCCAGCAAACUCAUUAACCCAACCCAUUAAACUUCAAAACACUUCAAAACAGUUUGAUUAACACAACACAAAAUGCAGGAGACAAGUCAUUGAAGAUCAAACGAAGAACAAAAAUGGAAAAACAUGCAAUCAACCGAGAACAAAACCAGUUUUCUGGUGAAUCCAAGAUGGGUUUGUCAAAAGCUAACACCUUUCAGCCAAACCAUUGAACUAUCAAGUGUCAAACCGUCCUAAUCCUUUGACAAUUUCAAGUCAUCAAAAGCCACUUUCUCCAAAAACAUUAGGAACCAUGCGAAAAGAAAACAAAAUCCAAGAAACCCAUUUAUGAAAGAGAAAGCUCACGCAAAUGGCCCCAAGAUCUCAUGAAAAGUGUUAAAUCAACUGAUAAGAGAAGUUAUUGUUACCCAUAAAUGAUUGAGACGCCGAAUCUAUGCGAGAAAAACCAAAUGGAAUUCACCAAAAGUUCCGUCGCAGGCUUCCCAGGGUUGAUGAUCUCGUGAUUUGGAGCUCUAAUUUGAAGGGGUUAACGGUGUUUUUUGGAGAAAAAUUCAAGAGAAAAGCUGUUUCUCUACACCUUUAUAUAAUGUAGAAAUAAAGAACUUGCUUAAAUGUUAAAAUCGAAGCAAGAAUAUGGAUCCAAAGAGGCCUGCUGCAUCAACCCGGUACCAAAAUUUUCCAGCAAUUUUUCUGCUCUCGUUUCUCUCUUUUUCCUCUCAGAUUUCUCUCUCUUUUGCUGUUUUUUCUUUCUUCAGCCGCCUCUCCCCUUUCUUGCUCUCCCCGGAACCUCCUUUUUCCCUCCUCGCUUUUUCUCUUCUCCCUUUCUUUUUUCUCCUUUCCCUUCUUUUUCUUCCCAGCCGAAACCCUUUUUUAUUCCUCUUUCUCUUGCCCGAAGCUCCUCCUUUCUUCCUCUCCAGAUUCCCUCCUCUUACUCGAAGCCUCUGGUUUCUCCUCUCUGGGUCUGCUUCUCCCUUUCUUUUUUCUUUUCUUUCUUUGCUCGAAGUUCUCCUCCCAAUCUCUUUCACUCCCUCCCUUUCCUUGCUUCCUCUCUUGAUCCUCAGCCGUCACCUCCUCUCCACCUCUCCCUCUCUCGGUCUUUCUCUCCCUUAGUUUUUUCCUUUUUCUCUCGGCCUUGCCUGCAGCUCCUCUCCCUCUUUUCUUUUUUUUUUUUCUUCUUGUUUGUCUGUUCCGUCUUUUUUUUUUUCUCCUCCAGCCAACCCUCCUAGUUUUUUCCUUGCUCUUUCCCGUAGCCUUUUUCCCUUGUUUCUUUCUCUUUUUUUUUUUUUCAGUUUUUUCUCCAAAUUUCUCUCAAAUCAACAAGUGUCCUGCCACUUAGCUUAGCAUGUGUUGUGGUGUAAAAAAUAUGGACAUUUGUCUAAUGCCUAUCCAUCCCACUUAACUAGUUUGCAUGGCCUCCACCUAUUUUCUUUUUAUUUUGUUAUUUUUUGUUUUUCAAAACAAGUUUAGGGUAACAAAAAAAGAAGUUAAAUGCAUCACUAAUUUUCAUUUUAUUGUCAAGCACUUGAAUUUAAAAAUAUUAAAACAAAUUUUUUAUGAGAAUUUUCUUUUUAUUUCAGAAAUUUAAUGCAAAAAUGUCUUAAAAAGAAAAAUGAUGAAGCUAAUUUACUAAAAUAAGCAAAAAAUAAACACUAACUAUCAUUUUGCAAACUUAAUCAACUAAAAUAAAAUAAAAUAAAAAUAAGAAUAAAUAAUAAAAUUAAAUUUAAAAUUAAAUAAAAUAAAAUUAAAAUUUUGGUGUCUACAAUGUGAACGAUUCUGCACCACCCGGUCUACAAGUGGGAACAUACAUCGAAUCUAUGCAAAAUUUUGCCUAUGAAUUGUAAUUUUUUGCCUGGUGUGAGGAACUUGGAACGUAAUAUAUAACAUUGGAUCCAGGGGACGGAAAAUUAAAUAAGGGAAUGAAAUUUAUUGUAAUAAUGUUUGUUGCACAUUUUUGACCAAUUUCUAGCCUCCACAUAUGAGAAGGCAUGUCAGAACCUAUUGUAGAGCGACGUGGAAUUUGUCAUCGUGCCAAAUCAAGGGCUAAUCAUUCGGUUUGUCAGUUCAACACAGGAUUGUUCAUCAAAGCAAAACAUUUAUUUGGAUAGUGAAUUAUUUGUCAAAAAUUAUUUACUUGCAUAACCACAUUUUUAUCUCACAUAUAUCAUUUAAAAAAGUGUUACUAUAUUACUUUAAAAAAUUUAUCCCAAUUAAUCUAUUAUCCAAAUACAAUAUAAUUUAUUUUAGGGUCCACUAUGUUCCUUCUCAUUUCUAUUCCGACAACAGCACAACUAAUACAAACGAUCCAUAGACUCCUUAAACGCUUUCUAAUCUCUUUAUCACUCCCAUUACAUGUAGUCUUUUCAUUUUCUCCUGGUGCUACGGUAUCUAUAUCACACAUUUUUCUUUUUAGACUAAUACCUCAGUGAUUGUUUUCACUACUAAAUGAAGUAGCUAAAAAUAAAUGAGAUAAAAUGUCUAGUCUAAUAAUACUUUUGCUUAAAAAAAUGUUAUUAUGCAUAUCUUUAACAAAUUCAUUGAUAAUUUAUUAAAUUAGUAUGUAGUAAAGAUAAUAACAAAGCGAAUAUAUCAAACAGAGACAUACCAAAAUUUAAGUGAUUUGGUCAAACGAUCUACAUCUAAAAGCACUAACUACUGAAAGAGAGCACAAAAAUCUAGAAAAGUGUUCCUAAGCCUGAAAGUACUAAAUGCUGAAAAUGCAAGAUAGUUCAAAAAAAAAGGGACUUAAAGAUCCAAAUGCUUAAAUAGCCUACUAACUCACUCUUUUAGUUUGAUAUUUAAUUUAAAAACCUUUCUUAAUUUGUGAACUAAAGUUUCCAAAAUCUCUCGAGUUGGUGCCUUUGACACAUUUCAACUCAAAUAAACCCACUAUAUUUAUAACCACUCAAAGAAGAGAUCUUUUGAUAAAACUCCCAAUAUAGAAUACAAAGGCAAACGCAACAACAAGAUAUAACUUAACAAGGGUUACAAUAAAAUUAUUUUUAGUAAAAAAACAAUUUUAUUGUAACUCUUGUUAAGCUGUGUCUUUUAACAUCACGUACUAAUUUAAUAAGUUACCAAUAGAUUUGUUCAGACAUGUAUGAGAGCACAUUAAAAAAUAUAUAUAUUAAAACAUGCAUUUCAACUCUUCUAUCUUUAGCUACUUUUUAUUUGUUUCACCUUUAUUACACAAAUUUUUUAUUUUAUCAUUUACAAAAUUUGAAAAGAAAGAUUAUUUUUUUUAGCAUCUACAAUGCAAAAGUAGGCCAUAAAGGAAUAACCAAAGUGAUUAAGGUUAGCACGCGCACUAUAAAACAUGAAAUAACAAACGAUGACUUAUGAGUAACUAUUUAAAAUCCAAAGAGCAAAUUGCGUGAAAUAUCACUAAACUAUUGCGAGGUGUCGGUUCUGAUCACUAAACUUUUUUAUUAGUAAAAAAUGUCACUAAACUAGUAAAUCUGUACCGUUUUAGUCAUUCCGUGUAUUUAUGCCUUUAGGAGAGAAGGAAAGUCACUUUUUGAGGGGCAAUUUUGUCCGCACAAUCUUUUCCUUGAAGCUUUUACAUAAUCAAUGGUUCUGUAUCCGGCAAAGGCAUAAAGGAGCUGGCUGAUCUAAAUGGUAGCACCGUCAAGACGAUGAUGACAUUUGGUGAGGCAGUGAAGUACAAAAGCUCCCUGGAUGCAUUUGCUCAGAUCUUGAAGAAUGAGGGUGCAAGGUCUCUCUUCAAGGAAGCUGGUGCAAACAUCUUACGUGCUGUUAUUGGUGUUGGUGUGCUUGCUGGCUAUGACAAACUGCAAAUGCUUGUCUUUGGAAAGAAGUAUGGAUCUGGCGGUGCUUAAGAGUUGGUUUUUUGUCCUCAAGAUUUCAAAGAUUAGGCAAUGAGAAAAUCUCCCGUCUCAGAGAAGUUUCAACCUAUCCAACAAAUCAGAGAUUCCAAAAUAGUUGGUAAAUCCAUCUCAGAUUUGGGCACAAAAUCACAAGAGUCUGAUGAGUUAAAAGGGAGAAGGAGCUACCUAUAUUGUUCAGGGGUCGUUUAUGAAGACAAACUUCAACCAAAAAACUGAACUGACAAAUUUGCCCCUAAAAAAUCAAGUUUGCAACUCAUGUGAUCCAUCCCCACCAGCACCGUCGCGAUUGCUUCACUCAGUACCGCGACAUGAAAGCCAUGGACCCAAUUGAACUGUUAGGGAUACUUCCAACUUGCAGCUUCGGGAACUUCUGUUUCAAGAAGUAUUUGGCAAUUGUUCAUCCCAAAAUAGAGGAGUCGUUAUUCGGGGACUUGGAGCAGCACCGCCUAGUUUAGGCCGGAAGCCACCCCAGGAGUCAAUUUUAUGGGGAGUUUUUGGGCCUAGUUAAGGCAGUUUGGCUGCUACAUUUUCUGGCAUUUUUUAUGGACCCACCAACUAGUCAUUUUGAGGCUACUAAGGGAGCUGAUUUCCAUCCGCAGUAUAUGGACAGUGUGGUGAGGGUUCUUGGUGGUGGACGAAUGGGUGGUGGUGUGCCUCAGGUGGUGGGCUUCCCGGUGAGCCCUGGGUUUAAACUUGGAAAUGGGUCACUAAUUAAAGCCAGGGUAUACCUCGUUCCCAAGAACGGGUACUGAAUUUGUACUACUAUUUAGCCUAGUUAAAACUUAGAAGACAUGGACUAGUGCCUCUGUGUCCGAAUGGCAUCGGGAUUGUGCCGUUUGUUGUUGUUCUCUGAUGAGCUUGGAUUGAAGGUCGCAGCUGGACUUUGGUCGGGAUCAAAAAUAGGAGGGAAGGGGGGGUUCCAGUAGGAGGGGAGAAAAGAGAAGGCAGGGUGUAGAGGGAAGAGAGAGGAGGGGAGGGAAGGAAGAGGGAGGAGGAGGAAGAAGAAAGAAAAAGGGAGAGGAAGGAGAGCGGAGGCGGAAGUGAUGGCGGUGGGUGGCAAUGUAGGUGAUGGGUGGUUGUGGGUGAAGAAGAACGAGGGUAUAAAUUUUUUAACAGUUGUGUAGAUGAAAUUGCCUCUCAAAAAGUGACAUUUCGUCUCUCUUAACGGCAUAAAUACACGGAAUGACUAAAACGUUAUAGAUUUAUUAGUUCAUUGAUAUUUUUGGCUAAUAAAAAAGUUUAGUGAUCAGAACCAACACCUCGCAAUAGUUUAGUGACAUUUCGCGCAAUUUGCUCAAAUCCAAAUUCUAGUAAGGUAUUUUUUGCUUUUUUUUCCCCUCCUAGUUUUCUUGCAUUAAUUUAUUUUGCUUGUUUUUCCAUAAUAUAAAGAAUUUUUCAAAAAGUUGCAUUUGUGAAAUGCAUACUUUCCAAAAGCUGCAUUUAGGAAAUGCAACAUUUCGUGGACUUUUUUUUUGCUCCACUUUAUUUGUUUUAUUCUACAAUAGAAACAUUGCAUUUGCGAAAUACAAGUUUUCGAGAAGCAUUGCAUUUUGCUAUUAUGUUUUUCACCCUUUGGGAAGAAGUUUGGCAAGUGACAUUGUUUGGGAUUUUUUUUUCUUUUGAAAACUAGCACUAAUUGGGAAAUUACUCCUGUAUUUGCCUUUUCCCAUCUCCGGACCAAAUAAUUUACAAACGGGAAAAUGCACUUUUCAUCUUCAAUAUUUAAGGUGUUAAUUAAUUUCGUCCCUAAAGUUUCAUGUGAAAUACAUUUGAUCCUCAUAGUUUUAUAAUUUUGACCAAUUUUGUCCCUAAAAUUUAUGUAGAACACAUUUCAUCCUCAUAGUUUUAUAAGAUCUACCAAUUGAGAAUAAUUAAAUGGUUGUUUAACAAUUUGAACAUAAUAUCAUCACAUGUCCUGUUCGUAAUUGUAUUAUUAAUACUUAAUUCAAUUAUUGAUUAAAUUACAGAAAUAACAAGAAAUAUUUUUGGAUAGGAAACGAUCACUUUUUUUAAUGUGAUAUGAUGUAUUUGAGAUAAAGCAAAUAGAUUGAAAGAUAAAUAGAUAAUUAAAAAACUUGUAUAUGAUGCAACAAAACAAAAUUUGAACAGUGAGGUUGUUUUUUUUCCUAAUGGGUAUGCCAUGGUCAAGUGACGACAUUUCAUUCAAAUUGUUUCACAAUCCAUCAAUUGUCCUCAAUCAGCCAAAUUUACGAAACUAUGAAGAUGAAAUGUGUUUGAGUGAACUUUAAGGAUGAAAUUAGUCAAAAUUAUAAAAUUACAAGGAUGCAAUGUGUUUUGCAUGAAACUUUAGGAACAAAAUUGGUUGACACCUUAAACAUUAGGGAUAAAAAGUGCAUUUUUUCCAUUUACAAACCGAUCCUUAAUGGUUUUGGACUCACCACUUAUAAAGUUGGGAAAUUUAACAAAUUGGUCCCUAAUAUUUUCACAAAAAACUUUUUUAGUCUCUAAUAUUUAAAAUCAGUCAGAAUAGCCCCUAACAUAUAAAUUAUGAGCCAAUUUGGUCCUAAUUCUCGCAUUUGCUCAUUUUUCCUGUUAAAAAUAACACACCUGUCUCACAUGGAUAUAAUUUUAAGAGCAAAAUCGGAAAUAUUCGUUAAUCCAUAGUUAUGCAUCCCUCAAACUCUUGCACCGCUUCUUCAACUGGUUCUCACUUCUCAGUCUACUGCUACUAUGACAUCACAGAAAUCGACGGCGUCAACACCAAUGAACUCUACAAUGCCGUCCAGCUGUACCUCAGCAGAUCCGCUUCCAUCUCCGGCAACCGCCUGAGCCUCACUCGCUGGCUCAACUCCACCUCAGGCUAUCCAACAAUGACCGCCUCAUGGACAACUACAAGGGCGUGACGGUUCUGUGGGAACACAGUCACGCAGAGACAAGCCCAGACAUUUUCUUGGCGGCCGUUGCCCGAAGAAAAGCGGGGCUUCACUUUGCGCGUGAAGAAGAAGGAUAAGUCGGUUAUUUUGGGAUCUUACCUAGUUUUUGUCACGGAAAAAGCUAGCGAAAUACGUCGGAAUAAUCAAGAUCGGUUGCUUUACACCAAUUCACGUGGAGGGUCACUUGAUUCCCGAGCCCAUCCUUGGGAGUCCAUACCCUUUAAGCAUCCUAGCACUUUUGACACGCUAGCUAUGGAUCCGAUCAAAAAGGCCGAAAUCAUGGCUGAUCUUAAAGAUUUUGCUAAUGGGGAAGCAUUUUAUCAGAGGAUUGGCCGGGCUUGGAAGAGGGGAUAUUUGUUGGACGGACCACCUGGGACGAGUAAGUCUAGCAUGAUUGCUGCAAUGGCUAAUUUCUUGGGGUAUGACAUUUACAAUCUUGAGUUGACUGAGGCGCAUACCAAUUCGGAGCUGAGGAAAUUGUUGAUGAAAACCAGUUCAAAAUCCAUUAUUGUGACUGAAGAUAUUGAUUGUUCAAUUAAUUUGACUAAUAGGAAGAAGAGCAGAGGUGCUGCUAAUUCCGACGGACAAGUGGGUGGUCCGAUUUUAUCCUUAAAAUAUGUCCAUGUGAGAGAGGUGUGCAAUUUUUAGUCGGAAAAAUAAGCAAAUACGAGCACUGGAAUCAAACUGACUCAUAAUUUAUAUGUUAGAGACUAUUUUGAUUGAUUUUAAAUAUUAAAAACUGAAUUUUUUUUUUUUUUAUAAAAAUAUUAAGGAUCAAUUUGACAAAUUUCCCUGCAAAGUUUACACUUCCACUCCACUGGCCCCACGUUGUUGUCCUCAGAUUUUCAUUCUUUUAUUCCCAUCAAUGCCAGGGAGAGUUCCGCUGGCACAGAAGCUAUCGGACCACGUGUUUUCGUAUUUGGAUGCCUGCACGCCCUUGUCCUCAAUUUCACAACUCAUUUGCAGAGUUAAUCUUUUUUUUUUAUUAUUAUUAUUUCACAACUAGCAUGCCAAAUAAUACAACUGCAUUUAAGUUUAGAACUGAAAUAUAUAAUCAUUCACUCAAACUUAGACAAAUAUAUAUUAUUGUCAUACAAACCCAAGUCCAACAAUGCAAAUAAAAUUUAUUUUCUAACAAGCACAGAACACUUUGCUUGCUUUCAUCCAGCCUAGCUUAAUGCUGUAGCUUGUUCAAAGCUACGAUAGGAAUAUUACUGCAUGGCCAUCUUAAUUAUGGUUCUUGAGCCUGCGCAAGAUUAAAUGAGCUCCAUACUGAGGCUGCACGGUGACACGUCUAAUCGGGGCAUGGACAUAAGAUGGAGAGAGCUCUGAGGAAAGAGUACGUAGGAUUAUUGCGAUAGCCAUUUUUAUCGAGUACAGUGCAAAGUUAUUCCCAAUGCACAUCCUUGGUCCGAAGCUGAAGGGAAAAUAAGCACCCUGGAUUUUUGUUGCCUUCAUAAUCCCUUCAGAAAAUCUCUCUGGUUUGAAUUCCAAGACAUCAUCACCCCAUAAUUCAGGGUCAUAAUGGAGCAGAAUUUGUGGCAUCAUGACCUGUACUCCAGCUGGAAUCAAAUACUUCCCAAGUAGUGUAUCUUCGGAAGCCACUUUGGAGAGCUCAGCUAGUGGCGGAUAUAACCGUAGAACCUCGUUCAAGAUCAUAGAUACCUAUGUACGAGUAAUACAAUUGAGUGGCCAGAAAAUACUAUACAUCAAGAAAGAAAAUAAAAAUCAAGAAAUUUCAUAAAGUUUUUCUAAUAGGUGCCUAUUAUCUUCCCAAUCUAGCGCCCAAAACUUCUGCAUGAUUUAGGAACUUGAAGGGAGACUUACAAUUUUCAGGUGGUUUAUACCAUCAUAGUCCGGCAUUUUGUCCCCAAAAACUUGGAGAACUUCUUCUCUUGCACGGUCCUGCCACUCAGUGUGCUUACUCAAGAGGACGAGUGUCCAGAGGACCAAAGUUGAGCUGGUGUCCUGCCCUGCCCAAUAGAACAGUUUGCACACAGCAUAGAUAUCUUCAAUGCUCAAUCCUGCACUUUUUUGGUUGCCCUGCAGCUUGAUCUCAUUGAGAUUGGAUUCCAACAAUAACCCCACGAAGUCAGCACCACCAGAUUCUCCUGCCUGCAUUGCCUUCAACUUUCUAUUGAUGAUGUCUGUAAUCUUAACUCUUAAUUCUCUGUCUAAUGCUCUCAUCCUGAGAUUGCUCUUAGUUGGCAGAAACCUUCAGCAGCAAAUUCAAACACAAAACUAAUUAUCUAAUAAAUCAGAUAAUAGUUCAGUACAACAUGUGGAUCGAUUUUCUGAUUCUUGACUAUAUUCCAUUGUUUGAUUGAUUACUGCUUGUUAAUUUACUCAUUUACUUAACUUUUAUUCUUAAUUUGGUCAUUUAUUCUUAACAUUGAUUAAAUGAACUUAAUUAGUUCGCAAAUCUAGUUUAUACAUACAUAUAUAUGCGUAACAUGUGUUAGUAUAUAUGUAUGUGCAUAUUGGCAUAGCCAUAUUCCAAUAUCGGAUUAACAUGGGGCAGACUUGGACAGUUUCUCCUUCACCACCCAUUUUGUAUAGACAUGCUUUUAAGAUUAUAUACGUAAAGGCAGGUUUACUAGUUAUACUUUUCAAAUUGAUAAUAUCUACACAAAAUUCCAUUAUAGCAAAUGAGUUUCUUCAUAAGGUAAUAGGAACAUAAUAUUAAUUAAAAUUUUUUUCCUGCAUGAAGUUGAUAAUUAAUUUUUAAAAAAUAAAAUAAAAUAAAAUAUUUAAAAAAAGAGGCUCAAGGAACAAGACAUGCAUUUUGUGUACGUUAUAUUUAUAAAGAAAAAAAAAUUUUGGUUAAGGGUAAACUUUACCUCUUUCCUGGAAAGUAAACUGAGUUUACUUUUUCCCACGUAUGAUUGGCAAGUUCUUUCAGAAGCCCGACAAUCUUUUUUCCUUCUUCGCCGCCAAUCCCAAAUAGUGAUGUUGAAAUUGAAGUUGCUGAAAUCGAUUCAACUCCAGGCCACACGUCCACCUCUGCUGCACCCCCCUCAGGAAUCACACUAGUCCAUUUGUUAACCGCAUCGAUGCAGCUCGAUUGAAACAGUGGUAACAUGCUCUAUAAAACAGGGAACAGUUAAAGGGGUCAUAUCAACUACUAACCGGUGCAUGCAGAGUUGAAAAUGCGAGACAAUAAUGUUGAAAAUCACACCUUUAACUUUUCCAAAGUGAAAGCAGGGUUAGUGAUCUUUCUAUACUUGGCCCAUUCUUCACCCUCUACAGCGCCCAUUCCACCGAAAAGGAUGUGGAUGAGUGGAUCAAGAUCGUGAAAACUCUUGUGAAAUGUCGCGUGUCUAACCAAGGCGUCUUUGGCUAGUGUUGGAUCUGUCACUGUUAUCUUGGGGAAUCUUCCAAUCCACAUGAAAGAAUUUUUUCCUAAAUUUAGUUCAGCACAAAACGGUUUGCGUUAGUAUUCCAACCAAAAAAAAUAAAUAAAAAAAGAAGAAGGAGAAGAAAUCAAAAGAGAACGCGAGCAAAAUCACAAUUAAGUGGUGCUUCAGAAAUUAAAAGUUACGUACCAUGAGAUUGGACAGAGUUGUAGACUUCGGGCAUCGUGCGUUUUACGAUAUUGUCUCCAAGCUGAAUAGGCUUGGAAUGAGCUUCCCUGAGUAAUUUUGCACUUUCAUAGAGGUCUCCUCGUAAUAGCCUGUAGGGGUUCCCUUUCAAACCUUGUUCCCUAAGGCAUUUCUCAAGCUUCUUUGGUCUGAACCAGUACAAAUCAAGCAUCCCAUAAAGCCAGUAAAUGGCAUAACCUACGAAUCCCAAGAUUGCUAUUAAUUUGAACCCCAUGACUUCCAUUUUCGUUGGUUUAGUAGCAGGUUCUAUGGCUUUGUUUCUUGGGUGGGAAACGAAUAUAUAUAGGAUGACAGGCGCUGGAGUCGGGUAUUACUGGAACUUAAACCGAAAUCAUUUAAAAGCUUGCACCGUUGGUAAUAAUUGCGAAUCCCAAAAUAUUGCGAAUCCCAAAAUGCGACAACAAUUUCCCUGCCGCGGAAGUAUAUAAAAAUCUAAGAUUCUUUCACCAUUGAAUGUCAAGUGGAUUUCAAACAUUUUGACAAGAAAAUAAUGGUGAACCAUAGCAUUAAACUAGUGUAAUUUAAGAGUUUUCCUGUUUUCUAUAUUUAUUGUUGUGGUUACCAGUAAUGAUUUUGUGCUGUCAUCUUUUUGCUGGUUAUAUUGUUCUAUAGUUUUAACCUGGCUAUUACUCACCCUUAGAACUUGUUAAUUACCAUUUUAUUUUUGUAAAUCUUUCUGAUGACUGGCAGGGUCCUCUUUUCUUUUCUUUUGUUAAUCCCCUCUGUCUACUGGAUCUCCUUUCUCCUCCGCUUAGUUUCUUCUACACCUUCACUUCUGUAUUGAUCUUGAGCAGGCUGUUAUUUACCGGUCUUUCUCUGUAUUGAUUUUCACUCUGUUACAAGUGAGGACGAACGAGAAGAUUUGAUUCUGGUACCAUUUUCUAACUUGCCACUUUCUUUAUUUGGCCUUUUGUCUUGUUCAUAUAUAUGACCAAUUAUUCAUGGACAGGCUAGUGGCCCUUUGAUUUUAACAUGUGCAACGUGAUUCCUUGUGGCCAUGUCCAAUUCUGAAUUAUUGCGCAGCCAUUUCAAAACCUGCAUCAUUUGUUGGGACAUGGCCAACGUUGGGACCAAUCACAAUCUGGCAGAUAGCUAAACUGAAAAAUUUUGCACAUGCAUCACAAGAACAUUGAAAUUGCGUAUGCAUCACAGGAUCAUUAGAGAUUCCUCAGGCAUGUGAAUCAAAGGUGUGACGACCCCACCUCGCUCUAGAGUUUAACGGACCGCCUGCCUAACUCUUGUCAGGAUUCACUCACUCAAAUUAACUUCAGAGAUAAUAUUUCCAUUAAACAACCGCACAUUCAGUUUUAAGUACAAAGCCAACUAGAUUAGAAUGUAAAUUCAUUCGUUAAAAGAAACAAAAUACAAGUUUUAAAUAGCGAUAGACAAAUUUGACCACCCAAAACCAUCUAUCCCUACUCGAGGCUUCUUCCAACCUCAACUCCAGCAAGGAAAACAAAACUAAGGGAAUGAGCUCAUGCCCAGUGAGGUUUUCCAAACAAGCAACAUUCAAUAAACACUUAAACCAGUAAAAAUUAAACAAGUAAAGAACACUUCCCUGUAUAAUUACUUUCAAAAGGAUAGGGUGCUCAUUACGAGCCUUUUAUGUAACACUAUACAUUUCACAAUAUAAUAACUCAGUCAAUAUAAAAGAAUACAAGCUCCUUCUGAGGGUCAUUUCAAUCCCACUGCACACUCCGCCAAAACCACCCCCUUAUAUCCUUCAAAUCAAUAAACAAUCUCCUACAUUCAUUAUUAAGUUCAAUAAUCUCCAAACUUCAGGGUAAUACUUGAAUAUAUCGAAAUACUUACCCAAAGCUACCGUCCUACUCAACCAAACCCUUUGCUAGCUCGAAUAACCCGUUGAACAGAAGGUUUUGGGGCCCAGUUCAACCGGUGUGGUAAAGUACACAUACGGCUUAUAUUCAUACACAUUUACAAUAAUACUUGGUCAAUUGUCAACGUUCAAACUCAACUAAACCGAGUGUGAUAAAGUACACCUCCGACUUAGAAGGCGAAGGUCAAUUGAGAUACACUUUACAAUGAAUCGCUAGCAAUAUUCUAUAAUAAGCACAUUUAUCACAUAACACCACUUAAGUAAAAUAUAAGCAGUUUAGACACACAAAUUCGAAAACACUCACCUAAAAUAUUUUGAGUUCACACCUCAAUACUUGGACCCUCCGCUGAAUCUCCCUCUGCCCCUGAGAUAUUUAUAAACCUAUUAUUUUUUCCAAUUGGUGAAGUUAAGGCUCACAUGAUUAUUUUGACUAAAGUAUAUAUAUGUGUGUGUAUAUAAUCCAAGAUGUUUAAUUGUAUAUAUAUAUUUAGGAGGAGUUUCAAGGUGAUUAUAUGUCAAUAAAAGUUGGGAUUUAGGUUCUAAGAAUCAUUUAGAAUCGAGGUGUAAAGUAAGUAAGUUAAUUUUCUAGGAUUUCGUAGUUUGGGGAUCAUAUGAAGUUCCUUGAUUUUACCCUAGAUUUUUGGAUGAGAUUUAUAGGUAAAACUUUGAUAAGGUAACUUAGAGGAAUUUGAUCAGUUUUGGUUCGUUUCUACCUUAGAAAUUUAAAAUUAAAAGCUAGAAUCUAAGUACUAAGUUAGGAUUAUUCAAAACGGGUUUUAGCAAGACAUGCUUCAUGUUUUUGGUCCAAAGUUCACUAUUUCUUGGUUCAAACCUCCUAAAAUCCAACCUGCAUUUUACCAUUAUACCUAAUAGGUUGUUCUUAAUUCAAAGUUUGGUCAGAAUUUUCAGUGAAAGUUUAGAAAUUAGUUUGAAAUCCUCAACCAUUCGAAUCGACUCAAAAGGGUCUAACUAGUUGACCAAUUUAGAUUUCUUUCCUCAAAACUCAAUGUUUCUUGUUCUAGUCAGGAUAAGUGUAAAAUACAGGGCAAAAUGGAAGAUUAUAGAGUAUUCUUGACCAAUAUUUGCACAAUUUCAGUUCACAUAAUAGAAAUCAACUAAAAGAAAACACAGCCACUCUCUCGGCUACAAAUCACUAAGGACAGCCAUGUUUCUUUCCCAACUUUUCAUUCAAUCUUCUAAAUUAUCAACCAAAUCCGACAUGUACUUACUUAUAUACUGAAAUGAGGUCAUGAAAUUUCGAAAUUCAACAAACAAUAAUCACAGCUAUAUCCCUUCGGACAAGCUAACAACCAAACUUUCUUUCCUCUUGGCCAAAGUUGGAAAUUCCAGCGAGAAACCAGCCAUAAAACUCAAUUUUUACCAUAGAAACUCACAUGCAUCACCCUAACAAUAUGAGACAAGGCAUAAAGCAUGGAUUUCAGUUAUGAUCUAGCAAAAUUUCCAAGAAAAUAACCAAAGUUGCCACGUUCUUCUUUCCUCCUAGUUUGCUGUCUUGAUAUUCCAGAUUUGUUGCUGCUUUAAAGUUCAUACUUUCUUCCUUUUAACUUCUCAAAUGUCACAUGCAUGAUAAGGUUAAUGUGUUAUAAGGUGCAUUAAAUCACAAUAUGAAAGUUUGCAGCCAAAAUCCAUGGAGAAAGCUGGGAAAAUCCUUUCUCAUCCUUCUCGGCUAAAGCUGGAAAAAUUUCAGCAAAUAGAUAGUUUGGAAAACGAACUUUUCCCCAACAAAUUCUUUAUUUUUUUCACUCAAACUCAUCAUGCAUGUGGUGAUUAUUGUGGUAUGAGGUAUAUUGAACAACAAUAUGAAAUUUGCAGCCAAGAUUUGAAGAGAAAAACUCAAAAAUUCUUUCUUUCCCUCUCUCGGCCAUCUCAACAGAUUCCAGCAAGCUUUCUUCAACAAUUUCAGCCAAGAUUACCAAUGUAUUUACCAGAUUGAAAGGCAAAUACCUUGUAAGACAAGAGAUAAACUUAUAUCAUGCAUUUGCUAGUAAGUUUCUCCAAAAAUUUCAAAUAACAAGCUGCAUAUCUAGCUCUCACUUCCUCGGCCAUAACAGAAUUUUUCAGCAAAUGAGCAGUCAUUAAACAGGUUUUUCUUCAGCAAAACUCACUUUUCUUAUCUAAAACCAACAUGCAACAUACAUAAUUAAGAUUAUUGGAAGAUUGAGGGGUUUUAUUACAAGUUUUACCUCCCUUUCUGUGAAAAUCUAAGCUGGAAAAUGCGGACAGCCUAUCCUCUCCUGGCUCCUCAAGAAAACCGCACCAGGCUUCUCUUCCUUCUCCCCUCAAUUCGGCUAGUAUAAACACCAAGAGGCUACAGCUUCCUCCUCACUCUCAACUCUCUUUUGUGCGUGGGAAUAGGGUGAGAAUAUGGUUCUCUCUCUACCUCACUUUCUCUCGGUUUCAGUUGGAAGCAAAGAGGAACCAGAAAUGCUUUUCCCUCUCUCUCGGUUUAAACAAAAGAAAGACAAAUGGUUUCCUUUCGGUUUCAAGUCAAGAAGAAAAAGGAAAAGCUUGUUGGUUGCAUGGUAAUUCUACCACAUUCCUAGGGCCAUAUGGUCAUUUAACAAACUCUUGAACAUUUGGCAAAAAAAAAAAAAAACUAGACGUUUGUCAUUUGCAUGAUUUGUCUCCAAACAUUAUUCGACUAUGGCCAAAGUAAUUCUAGUAAUCACAUCAUUGCCCCAUUAAUUUGUUUUGAGUAGUAUAAUUUCUAUAAAGGUAUUCAUACAAUAAUCUAAAGUAUCCCUAUGCACUUUAAAUUAUAAAGGAGACAAGUAAACACAUAAAUCAAUCAAUGAUAUGGUAUAUGCAAUGCUUUCGAUCUUUAGAAGAAAAUGUGAAAUGUAUGAAUAAAUUUUCCGCCUCUCACAAAAGGCUAUUGCAGAAACAUUGGAAAUGCUACCAAUAUCCUCUCUGAACUUUGGGGUAUUUGAGAUGGGUUGGAAUUGGCCUGCUCACUCAAUAUAUCUCAUCUUGAAGUUGAAAUAGACUGUGUGGAUAUUAUAUCUAUGAUUAAAUCUACUGAAAAUGUUUAUCACUAUUUACAUCUAUCCAUUAUGGAUUGCACUAUUGCAGAUUCUUCUUCUCGCAGCUUCGGAAAGUGAGAAUCUCCCAUGUCUAUCGUGAGGCUAAUAGAUGUGCAUAUCAACUGGCUAAGAUGAGAAGCAAGCAGAAUAGACACUUGACCACUUUUGAUAAAUGUCCUCAGAAGUUGGUUUUGUUUAUGAUGAGAAUAUCAAAGGAGUCCGUCUCCUCGUGGUAUUCCUAUGGCUUGUAAUGGCUAGUGAAACCAUGGUUCGCCAUUGUGGGUCGCGUUGCGAUCUCGGUUGUUUCAUAUUCGUCGCGGUAUAUCGGGUGAUACGCACAUUAUAAUACAUGAAAGUUUUCAAAAAUUUUGAAAAAUUUACUAAAAUUAGAAAAUACCAAAAAAGACACAAUUUAAAAAAAUAUCUGAAUCGAUUCCAAGUUGAUUCGGAUAUAUCGGCUGAUUUCAUGUAUCACGGAUUCAAAACAACCAAUAUCGAUCGAGUCAGAACGAGUCCUCAAGGAUAUGGUAAUAUCCAUGAUUCGGGAAUCGGUAUCGUGCCGGUCCCCUCUGUUCCGAUUACGAGCCGGCCGAUACGCAUCGGUAUCGGCCAAUAUUGCGAACCAUGAGUGAAAUUGCUUUUGUUCUGUACUUUAUUAAUGCAUUCCUCUUUUUACCAAAAAAAAAAAAGAACAUAUUGGCCCUAGAAAAGAAUAAACAAAAGCCAAAAGAAGAUAAAUGAAAAGAAAAGAAAAACUCACGGUUGUGCGUGUUUCAGGUGCACCUGCGAUCAAGAUAGGUGUUUGCUAUAUUAUUCCGACUCUUCAUUUGGUUUUGAUCCCAAACUCAAAGUACCCAUGUCCACACGACACUUGUUUCUACACUUUGAAAAAUUUGUGGACAUUUUGACUUUUGUGAGGUCUAAUGUCCAAGGAAGAGGAGAAGACCUGGCUGAGAAAACUAUUAGAUGUAGAAAAGUUGUCGCAUUGGAAUCCUUAUUGCACUAGAAUCCUUUUAGCUAUGACUCGGUGGUUACUUUAGAAUUCUCCAAUCCUUAGUGAGGUAUGACUUGUAUGUUGGCUGUAUUGUAUAAUUCUUUUAUUUACUAGAAAUUUUGCCAUACCCACGUACUCGUGUCCGAGUCUUUAGAAGUAUCUCCGUAUCCUAAUUAACACUUAGACACGUACCCAAUCCAACACCCAUACCCAAGUCCAAGUAACAUAAGGUAUUUAAUUGAAUAUAUAUAAAUUAAUUUUUUCUAUACUGUCAAUGCAAAAACUUUUUUUACAUAGGUACAGAUUAAUAACAUGCCAUGACUUGUGCAACAUGAUUGAAGGUGGUACUUUUUAAUACGUGCAUCUUUUGUUUUAAAGAUCUUUUGUAAAGUAAAAAUUGAACCGAAUUGAAGCUAUGAAAGGAAAAACAAAACAACCUUCUCUGAAGAAACCGUGAAAAGGAUAAGCAAUACCAAGACCAAAAUAAAUCUCAAUAUUAUUCCAUUGAUUGCUUUGGUAUAAAAGUAUUUAUAGAGGAAACAAAUCCUAAGAAGAACAAAGAAACUACAAUGCCAUACCAAAAUAAAAUAAAUUUACUAAAGAGCAAAAAUGAUAGAAAAUUGUAAAAGCCCCUCGUUACAAUAUAUGAAAUCAUUAAAACUUCUCAUCUAAAUAUUACACAAUCCACAAUAUUUAGGGAUAAUUUCAGAAACCUCUCUUAAAAUUUUUCAUCAUGCCACUUAGCACGUUCGAGGUUACCAAAAUCUUACGUACCUCGAAGUCCUUGCUUGAGUUGACAUUUUUUGUAACAUGUCAGUCCCUCUGGGAGAAAAAACAAGAAAUAAUAUUUUGGUUCAAAUAAGACUCUUAUGUUAUUCUAUUUAUGAAGCUUAUAAUAACACUGAAAAUUGCGAUAAUUUGCACCUAAAGUUUCUAAAAUCUUACUUAUCAUGUCACUCUCAAAGGUUGCAAAUUGAUAAAAUUAUCCUUGCACUCUUAUUUAGCCUAUGCAUGCUAAUAAGGUGCUGCUUCAGUGGGUUGCUGCUGUGUAUUGCAGAGCCAGUCUCAUUUAGUCAUAAUUUUUCCAGUUACUAUCAUUUUUUUUGGAAAAUUUGCCAAAUUGGUCCCUAAUAUUUUUUUAAAAAACUUUUUUAGUCCCUAACAUUUAAAAUCAGUCAAAAUAGUCCCUAACAUAUAAAUUAUGAACUAGUUUGGUCCUAAUGCUCGUAUUUACUCAUUUUUCCGACUAAAAACAGCACACAUAUCUCACGUGGGCAUAAUUUUAAGGGCAAAAUCGAAAAACAUUCAUUAAUCCAUGGUUUUAGACUCUGAAGGAAAGAGAAUAUGCUCUUCAAAGUUCAAGCUCUCAAUGGCUAUUCUUCCAUAACUCCACCCACUCCUCCUAGAGUCAAUCUUGAGUCAUCUUUCUUGCACCUACUCCAUUAGAUGCAUUCCACCAUCACCACUAACCCAAAGCCUGAUGAUCUCAAGAGAACUAGAAAACUUGAAGCUUCAUUGAAUGUUGAAAACCAAGAAAAACAAAUCAUUCGCAACAUUUUGCAGUCCUUCACGACAUCCCAACUUGUUGAAAUCCUUCAGAAGCUGCCAUUGUCCAUCCCAGCAUUCUCCAUACCUUUCUUUCCAUCGUUGAUAACAUCCCAUCCUAUCGCAAGAUCUUUAUCAAAAGUCUAUGGUUUUGUUACUUUCAAGAAUGUUGAGUCUUUCUUUCUUGCCCUAGAAAACCUCAGCAAUAAAAUUGAUGGGUUUGUCAGCAAUAAAAUUGGUGGAGAAUGUGCCAACCAACUGAGAUGAGUUCUAAGACUUUGUUGAGCUAUUUUGAGAGGUAUGGUGAAAUUCAAGAAGGGCCUUGGGGUUUGAUAUGGGGACAGGGAAAUCAAGAGGGUUUGUUUAUCUUUUGUAUGACAAUGAGGAAAGUGCAAAAGCUGCUUUUGCUGAGAAGGUGAAAUUUCUUGAUAGUUUCCGGCUAGUUUGCAAAAUGGUGUCGAGGGAAAGGGAGAAAAGUAAUAGGAACCCAAUGGGGGUUUUGCCUGUAAAACCAUGGAUUGACAAAUGUUUUCCAAUUUUACCCUUGAAAUUAUGCCCACGUGAGAGAGGUGUGCUGUUUUUAGUCAAAAAAAUGAGCAAAUACUAGUAUUAGGACCAAAUUGGCUCAUAAUUUAUAUGUUGGGGACUAUUCUGACUGAUUUUAAAUGUUAGGGAUUAAAAAAUUUCUUUUUGAAAUGUUAGGGACCAAUUUGGCAAAUUUCCCCCUUUUUUUUUGUCCUUUGGGUUGGUUUUCGAAAAUGUUUCAACAAGAUUAUUACAACGGAAACAAAAGGGGUUAAUCCUUCAAAAUUUCAAACCCAACGUCACCGCUACUACUGGGAAAAUCAUAAGGAUUCUACUAAUGAAAAACUCAACCAACUCUCUGCAGAAAUGACUAACCUUUGCUUGCAAACUACAGGAUUGAAGUCGCCAUAUACAUACACGUUGCUUAUCAGAAUCAAGGAAAACAAAUUUUGUCCUAAGUCCACAUACCGGCAAUAAGUUAUUGGGAGAAAGCUAUGUUAGAAUUAUUUUAUAAUUUGGGUUUCUACUGAUUAUAUUUGUUUUUUGUUAAAAAAUCGGGUAAAUGAAAAUCGGUAAAAUCCACUACAGUAUGAUCUACUAUAGUUGGGGUUUAAGUCUGUCUCAACUAUCUAUUUGGUGUGAUAUGCAAGGUGUAGAGCCUAUCAUGUUAACUAAUUAUGUAUAUAUGAAUGUACUACACAACGGAAAUCUAAAUACACUUACAUCUAAUUAUUGUUGUCAAGUACAAGUUGAUCUCUUCUUGUGUCUUUGACUCUUUCAUGUCUACUCUAAAGAAACAAAAUAUGUAGAAGAAGGAAAAGGUAGAUAGAGAAUUUAGAGUAAGGAUCUUCUAACCUAUGCCUAACCCAAAACUAUAUAAUUGAUGGAAUAGCAUAAACUAUUUAUAGGCUAGGCUAGGGACCGUUACUAGCAAAUAUAAAAAUCUCUAAGGUUUCCUUCCAUCAAGGAAAUCUUACCAAAAUUCAUAACUGAAAAUAACAUUUUCUGACUAAUUGAUUGAUUUGAUUAAUUAACUAAUUGAUAUCUUAAUUGAAUAAGAUAUCAAUUAACAAAGAUAUCAAUCAAUCACUAAUAAAUGGGAGAUACUAAUUAAUUAUUGAUAAAAUGUCAAUCAAUUAAUCAGGAUAUCAAUCACUAAUCAUUAUCUAAUAGGAGAUGUUAAUUAAUUAUUGACAAAAUGUCAAUCAAUUAAUUAUGAUAUCAAUCACUUUAGAAUUAAUCAUGUGAGUCAUAAUUGUCUCAAAAGGAGGCAAGUCUUACAUUCUUCCACUUGACGCACAUGGAAUAGUUAGAUAACUUAUGAGUGACUAACAACUUAAAAAUGACCAUAAACCUUGUUUGUCACUUACCAAGUUUAACAGUUAUGUAACAGUUGCCUAAUUAGAAAAUAAUAUUAUACGAAUCAUAGCGGUUAUGUUUUCAUUGCAAACACUUCCUUCGAUGUAUUACAAUGUAUUAUACUUCCUAAUUAAGUACUUUGAAAGAACUUUAUGAAUAACUUCAUAUAAAUUAUUCAGGGUCCAACUUUAUGGAUCACAUGAUCCUUAUUUUAUACAUGAAUAACAAUGUGCACAAAAUCAUGUAAACAUAAGUAUCUCGAGUGUCUAGACAAUAACAAUAGUUUGAGAAUAAUAGCAAAAUACUAAAUGAACUAUUGAGUUCUAUAUGAGUUAUUUGAUCAUUAACAACUCAGCCGGCAACCUUAAGUUGUUUGAUCAACAAUAAUAACUCCUUUUUUUUCUUUAUUUUUUUUAGUGUAAGCAAGAGAAUUUGAAUCCGAGACCUCAUGCUUACACUCCCUCCUCCCGUACCAUCCAACCCAUCCCUCCCCCCCACUCCUUACUGUAUACUUAAUAGCUACCUUUUACUUUCGAAAUAACUAUUGAAUACCUUAUGUCGACUUACCUAUCUUGACUCUCACUUUUUCAUGUAUACAUAAUGAAAGCGUAUAGUCAAAUUGAAUAUCUAUAGUGGUCAAAAUACAAUAUUGACAAACUUUAUGCCAAACAAUAGAUGCCUGUGGUAUACCUUCAUAGCAUCUUUGGUGAAUUUAUAUUCAUUCCAAUGCAUGAUAUGAACAUUAUGCAACUGUUCACUAUUAUUACUUAAAUGUAAUCAAAGAACUCUUGCAUGAAGGUCUUAAAAUAGAUUAACUAUCUUUUACAUUCUACUUUGUGAAUAUCAAUGAUAGAAGGGUAUCACAAAUAUCAUGAUUGAUAAAAACUCUCAUAGUAUUACUCCCAAUAAUCUUAAUAUAUAUUAAUUUAUUAGAAAAAUUCUUCUUAGAUCAAAUGAAGAAUAAAUUAAUAUACUAUUGAGGAGCAACAAUUUGAUUUAAAUUGUAUUCUCUACAAAUGUAUUAUGGUGACACAUAUGUACACCUAAUUAUCAAGAAUCAUGUGAAGGACAUUUGUUUUCAUAUUUAUCUAAUGUAACUCUAAUAGUGAGUUACUAGUGCCAUAAUUACCCUAAAUAAAGUCUCUCAAAAUUUGGUAGAGAUUUUAUUGUAAUUUGUGACAUUAUUCCUGAAUAUGGAGAUUUCUCCAUUCGUACCUUAUGAAAACAUUACACAAUUUAUCCUUAAACUCUUGCAGAUAUACAAUAUAGUAACUAGAGAACUUCAAUUCUCUAUAGAGAACAUUUUGCCUCCCAUUGUCUCAAAGAUAACUCAACCAGUGGGUUCUAAGUGGAUUUAUCUUUAUGUGUUUAUUUGACAAGGAAUUUUUCAAUUGAUUGCUUAUCUAAAAUAAUUAAAUAAUUAUUUUGACAAAAGCUAUCAAUUUUCCAUAUGCAAAGGAGUCAAAAAUGAAUCCUUACCUUUUUAAAACUCCAUUCUAGAGUCAAAACACUCCUACUUCAUGUUCUUAAGAAAUUUAAUCUCCAAUUUAAUAAUUCUUGAUGUGUAAAAAAAUCUAAAUUUCUUGGAGCAAGAUAGCAUUGUUUCCUUUGUACAACUUCUUUAUGUGUAGGUUGAUUACCCUCACAAAACUGAACAUAAUAUUGUAAACUUGAUUUCCAUCCAUACCACAAUCAAAGUGGCAUUUAAACAACAUUGGAGGAAAUUGUUUAAACAUAUACUUCAGUUUCAAGGCAUUACUCACAAGAUAUAAAAAUUACCAAUAUGCUAUAUCCAAAAGUAUCUCAUUAUUUUCUUAAGGUACACCAUUUGGAUGUAACCAAUCAAGCAUUGCUUUUAUUCAUUAGCAAUGUUUCUGUCAGGAUGCAGAAGUUAAGCCAUCAUGCGGCAUCGUUUUGUAACUAAUCAAACAAAUCAGUAGGGAGAGGGAUAAGUGCAACGGUGUCGUUUCAUGAUCAAUUAGUAGCAUUCAGAAUAAGUGAAACGGUGGCGUUUCAUGCGUAUCAAUUCAGUUUAUCAAUUCAGUUAGGAUUAGUUAGAGUCGGUUAACCACACUUAUUUGUACGUAAACAUUCAACAGAAUUGGCAGGCAAGAAGAAUCGCAGAAUCUCAUUCUUUUCAUUCUUUCUCUCACUAAUUCUGAUUCUCUCUCUUUUCUACUCUGUUUUCUCUCUAGUUCUCUCUCAUCUACUCUUUCUUUCCCCAAAUUCGAGUGUAGAAUCCCUAAUGCUGAAUCCAGGAUCCUGACAUUUGGUAUCAGAGCAGGACGGAUCCUUGGAGGAAGUAGAAUUCCAUGGCAGAAAGCACCAGGUUCAAAACCUUGGAGGAACAAAUCAAGAAGCAAGAUCUCAAGCUCCAGGAAGUAAUGGAAGGAUUGCAAGCCUCGCAGGCACAACAGAUGCGAAUGAGGGAGGAAUUUCGAACGGAAUUGGAAGGGAGCAACCUGAGGAUGGAAGGUUUGGUAGCAGAAAUGAAGCAAGAACUCAGCACCUUUAUGAAGGCACUGGUGAACAAGGAGAAGGCGGCAUUAGAGGAAGACAGGUUGAGAAUCGAGCAAACACCGCUGUUGCCAACUCCACCAAUGAAUCAGAGGCUACCAGUAGGGGCUGAUAACAUCAGGAUGACCAGGAAAGAGGUAGGUAGGUUCUUAGCCCCUAAUCCUCCAAAAAUUGACUUGCCUAUGUUCAGUGGGGAGAAUCCGAGGGAAUGGAUUAGAAAAUGCAACAAGUAUUGUUUAAACUAUCAAAUUCCUGAAGAUCAUAAAAUGGAAGUUAUAGAAAUGUACUUAGAGGGAAGGGCAGAUAACUGGUUUCAAGGAGUAAAACUGGAGAAACCAGGUCUAGUAUGGGGCAACUUCGUAGAACUGUUGUACAAAAGGUUUGACAACAGAUGUGGCAGGGAUGUGGUAGAAGAAUUUAAUAAACUGCAACAAUCAGGACAGGUGGAGGAAUACCAGGAAAAGUUUGAAGAGCUCAAGACCCUUAUGAUGCUUAAGAAUCCCUAUCUAGGCGAGGAAUACUUUGUAUCUAGCUUCAUCAGUGGACUCAAGAAUGAGAUCAGGACAAUGGUGAAAAUGUUGAAACCUGCAACGUUGUCCGAAGCCCUUGAGAUGGCUGUAUUACAAGAAGAUGCGUUGAAACUCCAGGCCAGAAGCUGGAAAACUGCACCUGAAGGCAGGUUUGGAAUUUCUAGGAGUCCUUCCCAACAACAGAGCCAUAGUCCUCACUAUAAAGUUCCUUCUAUCAGUACCUUCAGGAAUACCUCUUUCAAAGGGAAGCCAAUUUCUGCUGCAGAUACUGAACCUAAAAGGCUAUCAGCUCAGGAGUUACAGUACAGGAGGAGCCAUGGACUUUGUUUCAAGUGUGGAGAAAAAUUUGGACAAGGUCAUCAGUGCAAAUCAGGUCACCUAAAUCUUUUGGUCACAGAAGAGGAAGAGGAUUCAGAGUUUGAGGAUGCAGUAGGUGAACAAGAUGAAGCCACGGGCAAUCCUGGACAGAUCAUGGAAAUGUCUCUUCAUACGCUGUCAGAUGCAUUGCAAAGGAAGACCAUAACACUGGUAGGAAAACUGGAUGGGGAGGAAAUGCUGAUACUAGUCGACACUGGAAGCUCAGACAGCUACAUCAGCAGUGAAAAGGUAAUUGCCUUUGAUGUUCCUUAUCGAAUGGUUGAACCUUUCUCUGUGGUAGUAGGUAAUGGGGCUUGUGUAACUAGUAAGGCCAUAUGUCCUAAGGUGGUAUGGGAGAUCAAUCAGUACAAAUUCUGCUAUGAUUUAAAGGUAAUGGACCUGAGUGGCUGGGAUAUCGUUUUGGGGGUGGACUGGAUGACUCGCUUUAGUCCAAUUACUUUUGAUUUUCACCAAUUAACAAUCUCUCUGCACAAUCAAGGGGAAGUAGUUCAGCUAAGGGGACAAGCUGAGAAUUGUGACUUGGAUCUUAUUAGGGGGAGUGAUCUAAGGAAUUUUAUUGAAUAUAAGAAGCAAAUGUGUCUAGCAAUGAGGAUGGGACAGAAUGGGAAAUCAGAGAAGGGGAAUAUGCCUACUGAAGUUCAAGGCAUCAUUGAUGGCUUUGCUGAUGUUUUUGAGACGCCCUCUGACCUUCCCCCUGCCAGGGAAAUAGAUCAUGAGAUACCUCUAAAACAGGGGUCUCAGGCUUUUAAAAUGAAGCCAUAUAGGUACCCUCAUUCCCAGAAGAGUGAGAUAGAACAACAGGUCACAGACAUGUUGCAGCAUGGGAUUAUCAUUCACAGCAACAGUCCCUUUGCCUCACCAGUGCUUUUGGUUAAAAAGAAGGAAGGGACAUGGCGUUUUUGUGUGGAUUACAGGCGCCUGAAUGAAAUGACCAUCAAAGAUAACUAUCCCAUUCCAAACGUAGAUGAAUUAAUCAAUGAGUUAGCAGGCUCAAGGUAUAAAUCUAAGCUGGAUCUCACUUCUGGCUACCAUCAGAUCAGAGUCAAACCCAAGGACACUUACAAAACUGCCUUCCAAACUCACUGUGGCCAUUAUGAGUUCCUGGUAAUGCCUUUCGGACUGACUAACGCACCUGCAACCUUUCAGGCCCUUAUGAAUCAAGUAUUUCAACCCUAUCUAAGGAAAUUCGUGUUGGUUUUCUUUGAUGAUAUUUUAAUAUACAGUCCCACCCUGGAAUUACACCUAGAGCAUCUGAGGAUAGUCCUGACAGUGUUGAGGGACCACAAACUGUUUGCUAAGAGAUCAAAAUGCUCAUUUGCACAACAUACUGUGGAUUACCUUGGUCACACUAUCUCUGAGAAUGUAGUGUCCAUGGAUCAGUCCAAGGUGGAGAGCAUUAUCAACUGGCCUGUCCCUAGUACAAUUAAAGAGUUGAGAGGAUUUUUGGGGUUAACUGGCUAUUACAGGAGAUUUAUCAAGCAAUAUGGCAUUAUCUGCAAACCACUUACUAUGUUGCUCAAGAAGGACAAUUUCUGUUGGAACGAGGAAGCACAGAAGGCCUUCACAUCACUGAAACAUAUUAUGAGUACUGCUCCUGUUCUCAAGCUGCCAGAUUUUCAGAAGCCUUUCACAAUCGAAACUGAUGCUAGUGGGAGUGGCAUUGGAGCUGUAUUGAUGCAAGAAGGCCAUCCCAUUGCAUUCCUGAGCAAGGCUUUGUCUCCCAGAAAUUUGGGACUGUCAGCUUAUGAGAAGGAACUGCUAGCAUUAGUGAUGGCAGUUUCCAAGUGGAGGCAUUAUUUGGUGGGAUAUCACUUUAUUAUUAAGACAGAUCAUCAAUCCCUGAAGUAUUUGUUAGAUCAAAAGCUCACUACUACAUUACAACACAAAUGGUUAGCCAAGCUGCUGGGGCUGGACUAUGAAAUUCAAUACAAGAAGGGGACAGAAAAUAAGGCAGCUGAUGCAUUGUCCAGAUUACAUGGUACGACUCAAGAACACUCUACUCAACCAGGAUCAUGUUUUGCCCUUUCAACUGUCCAACCACUGUGGAUACAAGAACUCCAGAAAAGCUAUGAGUCAGAUUCUCAAUGCCAGGACAUUAUUUCUCAGCUACUGCUGGACCCGCAAGCUCACCAACCUUUUGAGUGGGACAAGGGAUUGCUGAAGUACAAUGGCAAACUUUAUGUAGGCUCAACCAGUGGAUUGAGGGACAAGCUCAUCCAAGCACUCCAUGCAUCAGCAGUGGGGGGCCACUCGGGACAAAGGGGCUGUUGGCAGAAGUUAAAAGCUUUGUUCUAUUGGCCUACGAUGAAGAAGGAUGUUAUCAGACUUAUUCAGGCCUGUGAUACAUGUCAGAGGUACAAAUCUGAGCAUGUGCACUACCCUGGUCUAUUGCAACCAUUGCCAGUUCCUCGCAUGGCUUGGACUCAUGUGACUAUGGACUUCAUAGAGAGUCUGCCAGAGUCACAAGGCUAUGACACAGUAAUGGUGGUGAUCGACAGAUUCACCAAGGUGGGACAUUUUCUCGCAUUAGCGCAUCCAUUCUCUGCCAAGCAAGUGGCUCAACUCUUCAUGGAUCACAUAUUCAGGUUACAUGGCAUCCCAGAAUCUAUAGUAUCUGAUAGAGAUAGGAUCUUUACAAGUGUUUUCUGGCAGGAACUUUUUAAGUUACUAGGUACGGAAUUGAGUUAUAGCUCAGCCUAUCACCCUCAGUCUGAUGGGCAGACUGAACGUCUCAACCAGUGUGUCGAAGCCUACCUGAGAUGCAUGACUGGGGAAUUACCCCAUCGCUGGAACAGGUGGCUAGCACUAGCUGAAUGGUGGUACAACUCCUCCUAUCACUCCAGUCUGCAAAUGACUCCAUUCGAAGCCUUGUAUGGGUACCAGCCUAUUCCCUUGCCUUUAGGACCUCAUUUUGACACGAUCAUACCAGCUGCUUCCCACCUACUCCAGGAGAGAUUGAGGGUCUCCAGCAGCAUCAGGGAUCACCUCCUCAAGGCACAACAGAGAAUGAAGUUCUUUGCUGACCAGAAACGUACUGAACGAACUUUUGAGGUGGGUGACUGGGUUUUCCUGAAGCUUCAACCCUAUAGACAGCAGUCAGUGGCUAUCAGGAAGUGCCUCAAGCUGUCUGCAAGGUUCUAUGGCCCUUUUCAGGUGGUAGCUAAAGUAGGGGCAGUGGCUUAUCGUCUUGCAUUACCUGCACAGGCAAAGAUUCACCCCGUAUUUCACGUCUCUUUGCUUAAGAAGAAAUUGGGACCUCUGCAGCCUAUUUCAACGACACUGCCUGAGAUUGAUAUUGAUGACCAGUGUCCUCUACAACCAGAAUCCAUUUUGCAACGGAGGGUGAUCAUGCGAAAUGGACAAUCAGUGAUACAAUACCUCAUCAAAUGGUGCCAACUCGAUCAGGAUGAAGCUUCUUGGGAAGACAAAGACUUCAUACACGCGCAAUUCCCUCAGUUUCAGUCUUGAGGACAAGACUGUUAAAGGGGAGAGCAAUGUCAGGAUGCAGAAGUUAAGCCAUCAUGCGGCAUCGUUUUGUAACUAAUCAAACAAAUCAGUAGGGAGAGGGAUAAGUGCAACGGUGUCGUUUCAUGAUCAAUUAGUAGCAUUCAGAAUAAGUGAAACAGUGGCGUUUCAUGCGUAUCAAUUCAGUUUAUCAAUUCAGUUAGGAUUAGUUAGAGUCGGUUAACCACACUUAUUUGUACGUAAACAUUCAACAGAAUUGGCAGGCAAGAAGAAUCGCAGAAUCUCAUUCUUUUCAUUCUUUCUCUCACUAAUUCUGAUUCUCUCUCUUUUCUACUCUGUUUUCUCUCUAGUUCUCUCUCAUCUACUCUUUCUUUCCCCAAAUUCGAGUGUAGAAUCCCUAAUGCUGAAUCCAGGAUCCUGACAGUUUCCUAAUUAAUGAGCACAAAUAGGAUAGCCCUUUAUUUUGUGCCUUCAUUUUAUUUUCUAUCUUUCAAAUUUCAAAUUUCCUUUCUCGUUUGAACACUUGUAAAGAUAUCAAAUAUUGAUCCUUUAUCAAAUAAGAAAGGAACUUUAUAUUUGAUGAAUGGUUACCUAAUAAUGAGGUAAAUAUCUCUCACCAAUAAAAAAGGAUAGAAAAUAAUUCACAAAAUUUUAGUGUUAUAAUAAAACUCUUAUGGCAUCCAUAAUGGUUGAGUAGUCUACUUUACUUAUGCAGUCUACUUGAAAUAUUAUAGUCAAUAAAUCUAAAAUCUUUAAAGAUUUAUUAUUUAUCAACUCUUUAUUUCAUUAUAGAGAUAUAUCUCAAUCUCUUAUGCCAAAAUUUAAGGAGUUUCCCUAGUGAUAAACAUACUUGCUGCCAAUAUAAUUAUUGUGGUCAAGUGCAGUAUAUUGCUCAAUUUAAAGGAUGAUACUGAAAACUUUAGAAUUAAUAACUUCACUAUUUUUAAAAUCUACUACUGGAUAAUGAGGUUCAUAAUCAUACCCAAUAGUAAUUAAUUUGAAAAUAGAAAUUCUAACGUAAUAAGAAAAUAAUGUUUUAGAAAAACAAAUUUUCUUGAAAUGAGCAAUAAUACAUCACUUAUCUUAUGUAAGACUUGCCUCCUUUUGAGGCAAUUAUGACCCAUGAUAAGUGCAUGUUUUGUGUGUUUUUAGUGUGUUUUAUUAAUUAGUUUUGGUGUUUUUAAUUAGUUUUAUAGCUUAUGAACUAAGUUUCUAGUGAAAAUAUGCAUUUUGUGGUUUUAAGUGGUAAAAAUUGUAUUUCUAUUGAAUUUAAUUGUGAAAAUUUCAUGUUUUUAUAGGUUUAAUGAUUCAAUCAUUAAAUGGCAUGAAUUGAGAAGAUAAUUGGAUGAUUGAUGAUGGUUUGAAGUGAUAAAAAGAGAAUAUGAAGUGCAAAAGAUGAAAUGCAAUUAAAGGAGUUUUCCAGCUUUGACACCUAUUGGUAUUUCAGCUAUUUCUUGACAUUCACGUAUUGGAUUGAGGUAAUUUUUGAAUUUUUUUUAAUCGAAGAGAUAUAUAUACAUUUGGUAUGAAGAUAUCGAAGUCUAGUUUAGUGGUUUUCCUAGUCAAAAUGUCAAAAUACAGAAGUGCAAUUUUGUUGUCGAAAGCUGAAAUAGAGUUUUGACUAGUAGAGGGUAUUUUGGUCAUUUAAUGGUUCACAUAGCUCCAAAUUGGAUGAAUCUUGAGGCAUUGGAAACAUAACUCAAAGGGCUACAACUUUCGUGUUUUACACAAGAGUUAGUUCAGUCUCCAUCAUCAAGAAAAUAUAUGUGAAAGUUGGUGCAAAAACAGAGCAAACAUGAAAUCCCCCCAGAAUGAGCAAUCCUGUAAAAGAGCAAAAUAUGGUACAAUAUGCAACCUCAGGCCGCAUUUUCGAGGUUGUGAAUUCAUGUUUUGCGGUUGCAACUUGCUCUACAAUUUGUGCUUUAUUCACACAACCUUUUUGACCAACUUUUCUGCAAAGAUUCCUACUGGAAAUGAGCAGAUGAGCAUGGAAACUUUGAGAGGCAACCUUUGAGAGUUUCAAGAAGCAAUUUUGCCAACUAGAAACAACUCAUCUUAAGUUUGAAUCUCUCUAUAAAUAGAGACCUUGGAGAACACUUUUCACAACUUUGGAAGGCUAGAAAAACUCCACAAAAAUGUAGUCUUCACUAGUUUUUCUUAGUUUAUUAGUAUAGUAUAGUUAAAGCAGUUUAUCUUUCUUGAAUUUGUAGUUAGAUUUGAAUGAAGAUUUGAGGAGCAAAGAUGGAGAGGUUGAAACUCAUGUGGCAAGGGUGAUUUCUCUCCUAUCACUUUCUCUUUUGUAUUUGGUUUCAUGUUUAGCUAUAAUAUAAGUUUGGUAUUUGUUUUCAUGUUUAGUUAAAGUUUAUGCCUAGAGUUAUGGAUGAACUUUCUAUAUCUUGUUAGUAAUGUUUACUUGGUUAUUUGAUGAUAUUAUUUUGAACAAGUUAUUUAUCACUUUUGCUUUUCUAAUCAUGAUUAACCGGCCAUUAAUUAUCACAAUCUUAAGGUGUUAAGUUUGCAAUGAGAAUUGGGAUUUAACACUAAUAAAGUCAAGCUAUGACAUAUCAUAAGACUUUUAAGUACCUAAAUAUCCUCUUGGCUGCUGUUUUAUAAAACAUACAUGGCUAUUGAUCCUUGCUUGAACCAUGAUCUUAAGGUUAUGGCUUUUUCAGUACUAAUGGUGUGACAAUUCAUACUUGGUUUAUGGGCUUGCUCUCAUUAAAGAAUGCACGUUUCUCAAUUAUUGACGUUGAUCUAUUUUCAUUUUCUUUUCCCAGAGGUGGAGAUAAAUUCCACUUCCACUUAAAUUGGAGGGUUGUGCAUAUGCAGUUCCUAAUUUUAUACACUAUUCAUUGAGAAUAUGCUCCAUGCAUGUUAUAAAGUAAUUGAACAUGAAACUUCAAAUCAAUUAAAAUUGUUCAUUGGAGAAGGUUUGUGCAAAAGAAUUUGGUUAUGGUUCCCAAAUACUAUGAUCAUAUCAACCGUAGAAUUUGUAUGCAUGAUUUAAUUGUCACUGACAAAGUUUGAUUUAUGGAAUUUAUUGAGCAAGUUAUGCAAAAUGAAAGCCAAAAGAAGGAUAAAGUAAUCAAGUUUGCUUUGCAUUGAGGGAUAAAUUAAGGUUUUGGCCUCUCUCUGCGGUUAAACUUGACAUAUUCUAAAUGAUGUCUUUUAGAACUUCAUGAAUACAAGUGCAACUUAUUUAACUUUGAUCUUCUAUGAAUGACAUGAAAAAGCUUAUGUGCAUAAAGUUUUUGUCUCAGUUAAACAAUUCAUGAAUUAUAAUGAAUGGUAUAAUCAAAGUGAUCUUUAUUAUAUUUAUAGAAUUAUUUAAUAAGGAUCUUGAGAUGUUCAUGUUUUGAAAUUCUAUGAUGAUUUCGACUUGGGUUUUUAUUAAAAGUUGAAAUUGUCACUUGAGAUAUGAAUCUUUGGUGUAAUAUUUAGAGUAGCCAUCUUGGUUCAUGUAUUUAUAAAAAUACUAGGAGGAAGUGCCCGCACAUCGCGCCGGUGUUUGGUGCUUUUGGUUGUAGAGAAUUUUUCAUUGGACAAAUAAUAGUACAUUUUGGAAAGAAAUAGUCAUCAUAUAUGACAAAGUUAAUAAUAGUACAUUCUAAUUGCAACAUACACUUAUACACUUAUACACUUUGCUUUGUCAAUACUUUUAUAAUUUUACCAUUCCCAAAAUACUCUUACAGAUGUCAAUUGAAAAUCAUCUAAGAGCUGAUAUAGGUUGUUUCAAACAAAGAAAUAUCCUCUAACGGCUAGUUAUAGUAACGUGUUAAUUACACAAUGUGUUAAUAUGUCUUUGUGUUAAUUGCACAACAAAAGCCACACUUCAAUUAAAUGUGUCUAUACUACCGUUUCAAUAGUUAUACCAACACAUAAACUUAUAUGAGUUGUAUUCGAUGCAAAAAUGGUUAAUUCCAUAUUUCAGAAAUAUUCAGAUGUCUGCAUAAAUGAAAACUUUAAAUGUACCAAAAUGAGGGCAUUUCAAUAAAUAUACUUAAACACAUGUAAUCCUCAAUUGUACCAAAAGUUUUAAAAAAAUUAUACAACAUUCUAUAUUCUCAAAAAGCCCUUAUCCAUGCGGUUGAAAUUUAAAUCCCGUUUGACCACUACUCAUUUUUAUAUAGUAUAAGGAUGUCAUAUAUUUCCUUUUGUCCAUGUUUUCAAUGGCACGAUUAAAUUUUUUAGCAAAUUGGACAAAGGAUUUGGGAUUUACUUUGUGCAAACAAGUUUUAGUUUGCUAAUGUCAUAAUUAGAUUUAUUAUCUAUUGACAUAAAAUAUUGUCUCAGUUGAAUGAUUUAAUGGAUUAUUACAAUUAGUACCACCAAAGUUGCUAUUAUUUUAAUUCAUAAAAUUAUUCGACAAAGAUUCUAGGAUGUUUGUCUUCUGAAAUUUUUAUCAUAAUUACCUGCCCCAAGGGGGUAUUUAUGCAUAUUAAUUUUGGAAGGGUCAAGUGAUCACAUGGUACAUUUAUGAUUAUAUAUAUGGUAUUUAUCCCAGUUAAAUAGUAUACUAAAUUAUUAUUACUGAUACACUGAAGUGACCAUUAUCAUAAUUCAUAAAUUUAUUUAAUAAGGAUCCUGAGAUUCUUGUCUUUUAUAAUUAUAUUAUAUGAUUAUCUAACCGAAGGUGAUAAUCAUAUAUAUAUUAUUUUAAAAGGAUUGAGUGUGUGAUGAGGGAAAAUUAUGACCUCAAAAGAGGUCUAUCUACUUGAAAUACAUUAGUUCUUCUAAAGUUAUCUCACUGUUUCACUUGAGUGGGAGGUUUAUGCUAUCCAAAGAACACUCUUUAGAAAUAGAAUUUAUCUUCCACAUGAAUAUUGCCAUUAAUUGCUCACCUAUUAUUAUUGCUUCAAGUGUGUGAUAUAUCUUCGAAUAUAAUUGUUUAAAGUUUGCAAUAUUUGUGUGAACAAUUGUCAUUUUGUUGUUGUUUUGUUUGGCAAUAUUGUUUUGAGAUGGAAAAGUAAAGUUGAGUUUACUACUUAGCUUGGUUGAUCUUGCUAUUAUUGUACUUCAAGUAAAGUUUCUAAAGUCCUAUAAUUACGGUUUAACAUAGAAAAGGCCUGUUUUAGAGGAUAAAUUAAAAUAUUAAGAUUAUGCAAAAAUUUGCCCUUUGGCCUUUUUCAAAGUACCAUGAUAAUUCAAACUGUUGAUCAAUUUUGUUUGAGUUCAUUGAGCAACAAUUUUAUAAAUAUGGAAGAUCUAAAGUUAUAGUUUCAAUGAGCAUUAAUAGACAGUUUUGUCUGUUAGAUUAUUGAAGAAGAACUUUUCUUAAGACCAUGUAAAACUGCGUAUCUUCUUGACCAUUAUAAAGUACAAUUUUUGUUGUCCACCGAAUUAAAGGUUCCACUUUCUUUCAAUAAUUUGGGUUCAAUUUUAUAUUUAUAUUCAAGUGUCAAUAAGUGGUUGACAUAUAUCUACCAAUUGGGGUGAAUAAUAAAUGAGGGGAAGUUAAGAAAGCUUCCAUUGGUCCAACUCAUAAUUUUGACAUUAAAAAUACUAAAUGUCAAUUUUAGGGUGCUUCAAGUUUUAUGAGCUCAAGUUGUACAAAAAAUUAACAUAAUUUAUUUUUCUUUUAAUUGUUUUAAAUUAACCUUUGCUGCAUCACGCCCUAUUAGCGGGGAAUCUUCCAUGACUGUAUUGCACUUUGCAGCAGCUGAAGCUGUUCCAAGGGGAAUUGCAUCGCAAAUGGCAAGCGCCGCAAUUGGAAACAGUUGAUACGGCAUUGGCGAACAAUCUCGCGUCGGUGCAACCAACUAAUAAUAAAAACGACAUGGGCGUCCUCGAAUGUCUUCGCUACAGGUUCGUGAGCAUUCUCAAACUACUUAUGGUUUAUGCUUCCAACUCAAAUCCAAUUAAUUUUUUAGUUUGGAACAUACGGGGAGCUUCUCGCAUGGACUCCCUUCGUUAGCUAAAUAAGUAGAUUCGAGAAAAUUCGGUUCGUUUAGUGGUUCUUUUAGAACCAAUGUCUGACUUUAAUCAAUUGGAGGUUGUUAAGCACUUUCUUCGUUUUGAUAAGGCAGCAGGUUUUGCUCAAGAUAAAAUUUGGUGCCUAUGGGGUGAGGAGUUUGGUAUCGUGUUUAUAGAACACGCCGAACAGCUAGCCCAUGCUAGGAUCAUGUUUCGUUCUGGUUUUUCUUUUGAGUCUUCGGGAGUGUAUGCAAAGUGCACUAGAGUUGGUAGGAGACCCCUUUGGGAAGCUAUGGAGUUGUUGAACGGUGAUAUGGUGAGACCUUGGAUGGCAGUGGGAGACUUUAAUGUUGUCUCCUCUGCGGGGGAACAAGUGGGCGGUUCUUCUGUGAACAUGCGAAAUGUUGAUGAGUUUAAUACGGCUAUGUUUAAUUAUGGGUUAGCUUCAAUGGAGUUUGAGGGGCAACCUUUUACUUGGACAAAUGGUGUCAUGUGGCAAAGAUUGGAUCGGGCUCUAGUCAAUGCUCGAUGGAUGGAUUGCUAUCCUGUCACAAAGGUUAUGCACUUGGCUCGUGGACGGUCAGAUCACUCGCCUCUACUAAUUAAGUGUAAGGAUGACAGAGUAAGAUGUUCUUCUUUUCACUUCCUCAACUUUUGGAGUACUCAUCACCAGUUCAUGGGAGUGGUGGCGGAGGAUGGCAAAAACCGGUCUCCGAGAUAGGCAUGGUUGGUUUUGCUCAGAAGCAAAAGCUGGUUUGAUGGCGGUUAUGCUUUUGGAAUCAUGAUGUCUUUGGAAAUAUCUUCUCCAAGGUGAAAACAGCCGAGGAGAACUACAAGCUAAGGGAAGUGGAGUUUGAUACCAACAAAGACGAUUUGUCAAGGUUGCGGUUGAAUAAAGCCCGACCUGUUUUCUCCCGUGAACUUGUGGUGGAAUGUUCUUAUUGGCGCCAAAAGUCGAAUAUCAGAUGGUUGAAAGAAGGGGAUGCUAACACAGCGUUCUUCCAUGGGGUUGUUAGGCAAAGGAGAAAUAUGAAUUUUAUCUCGGGUCAAAGAGAAGGAUGGCUCGUGGGUAGAUUCCGUGGGGCUUAUUCAAGUGUCAGCAAUAGCUUUUAAUUCUCAACUAUUUGAAUCGGAAGGUCGACCUAGAGCCCCUCAAUUUAAUUUUGAGGUCCCCAAGGUGACGGAUGUGGAUAAUGCCAUGCUUCUUGCACUUCCUUCGUUAACGGAGUUAAAAGAGGUGGUAUUUUCAAUGGACAUCAAUAGCACGCCUGGGCUAGAUAGAUUUGGAGCUGGAUUUUAUCAGUUAUGCUGGGAUAUCAUCAAAGUGGAUCUGUUGCAAGUAAUACAUGAUUUUUUUUUUCCUGGGAGUAGAGCAACCCAAGUACUAGUCUAGUUCCCUCCUACUUCUCCUUCCAAAAAUUGAUGGAGCUCAUCAAUGGAAGGAUUUCCGUCCAAUUAGUCUAUGUAAUGUGUCUUCAAAAAUUAUCUCUAAAGUUAUAGCAAAUCGGAUUGGUUGGUUGCUCCCUUCUCUUAUUUCUUCGUGGCAAACGGGGUUUGUACCGGGUAGGGGUAUUGUUGAUAACGUGCUAUUGGCCCAAGAGUUGAUUUUGGAUUUGGACAGACAACUAAGCAUUCCAAAUGUUAUUCUCAAGCUUGACAUGAAGAAGGCUUAUGAUCAAAUGGAAUGGUCCUUUCUGAAUACUAUGUUGCGAAUGUUCGAUUUUGGAGAACAGGUAGUUAAUUUACUGUUCCGAACAUUCGCGAACUCAUGGUUUUUGGUCCUAAUCAAUGGUGAACCUUCAGGUUUUUUUAAAUCCACGAGAGGGGUUAGAAAAGGGGAUCCCCUAUUUCAAACCUUGUUUCUGUUCGUGGAGAAGUUUCUCGGCCGAGGGCUACAUCAGUUGUUCUUGGGAAAUGAGCAAUGGUUCUAUGGUUCGGCUGGGGGUAAGGUUCCCUACCUUGCUUUUGCUAACGACCCUAUCAUUUUCACUAGGUGUGCUGCAGGGUGUUUACAGGCUAUACUUGAUUUUCUGGGGAACUGUCAGUCUUAUUCGGGACAAAAAGUUAAUAUAAAUAAAAGCUCCUUUGUUUGUUCUCCUCGAGCUAGGGCUGAGCAUUUGACUUUGGUAUCUUCUAUCCUUGGUUUUUGUCAGCAGUCUUUUCUGAUGCAAUAUUUGGGGUUCCCGCUGGUGAAGGGUUAGUUGAAAUGUAUGGUGUUCGACGGUCUUAUUUCAAAAAUUUCGGCAGCCCCUCUUCCAUUGGAGUUCCAAAUUGCUCGACAUGGGAGGCAAAAAUGUCCUCAUCCGACAUGUGCUAAGUUCUCUCCCCAUGUAUUUGUUGCAAGGGGUGCAGCCUCCUAAGGCAGUAUUAAGGACGCUUGGGAGGAUUUGCAACUUUUUCUUGUGGGACAAUAGUGCGGAGUCAAAGCUGCUUCAUUAGGUUGUGUGGGACUGGUUGUGUUUUCCCGAGGAAGAAGGGGGGGUUGGGGUUCUGAUCUUUCUCAGAUGUCUCACGUGCCUUUGCAUGUAAAUUGUGGUGGCGGCUAAGAAAGCACGAGUCAAUAUGGCCCAAGUUUAUGCACCAAAAGUAUAUUAGAGGAGUUCACCCUUCGAUGGUGGUUGUCUAUCGACCCUCUGUGGGGUGGAGACGUCUCCAGGAAAUUUGACUCGUUGCUGAAAGUCAGAUUCAGUGGUCUUUAGGUAAAGGAUUGGUUGAUUUUUGGCAUGAUGCAUGAUACAUAAUGCUUCAACCAGCUUUUGGCUAAGCUAACUGGGGUUGCUGACCCCCCAUAUGCUUGUGGGAGAGUUCUAUGAUGCUCAAGGGUGGAAUGAACAGCGGCUUCGACGUUGGUUAUCUCCAUUUCUGAUUGCCUAUGUUUUCCAAAUUCCAUUCUCAAGACAUCAGGAGGAUCGCAUUGUGUGCGCUCUAGCUCCCUCUGGGGAAUUCUCCGUGUCAUCUGCCUGGGAGGAGGUUCGCCAGAGAAGGAGCCUGUCAUUGGUUGAUAGUUUUCUGUGGAACUCUGUCACCCCAAUUAAGAUCUCCUUUUUCGCCUGGCGGCUUGUGUGCCGGUAGCUUCCUAUUGAUGAGAUAAUCCAGAAGCGUUCGAUUUGGUGUCUGGAUGUUACUGUUGUAGCACAGAUGUAGAAUCAGUUCAGCACCUUUUUGUGGAGGGUCCCUUGGUGAUGACUGUAUGGGGUUUCUUUGCGCGUCAGUUUGGAAUUUAAAACCUGAGGAGCAGAGACGUCUCGUCGAUGUUAGUAGCUUGGUUCUUGUCAAGAAUUAUAAGUGAUGCGACGUAGUUUGGAGCAUUACGGCAUUGUUUUGAAGAUUACCAGGAGAAAUAAGUAGUGCGACGUAGUUGGGUAUGAGUUCAUAUUCUUGCAAGAAACGGUGCCGUUGCACUGAAAUUUAGUUAGGAAAUCUGUUAUAUUUGUUUCAGUUAGUUACAAAGUCGGUUAGCAUUGAUGAAGUGUAAAUAAUGCUAUAAAUAGCAAAAAGGUGAAGAAAGGCAGUAGUCAGAUUCAUAAUUAGAUUUUUCAAAUGAAAAUAUCUUCUCAUUCCUCUUAAUUAGAAAUCUCUUGAUUUCAUGCAAUAGGCUCAUAUUGUUGCUGACAAGUAAAAUGUCAUCAACAUACAAUAACAAAAAUAUAUACUUCCUCCCAUAGAACUUAUGAUAUAUACAAGCAUCUACUAAAUUCAUUUCAAAACUAAAUGAGAUGAUCACUUAAUGAAAUUUGAAAUACCAUUGUCGAGACGUUUGUUUGACCUCUAUAGAUGAAUUUUUUAAUUUUACAAAUCAUAUUUUUUUAGAUCUCCUAAUACAAAAUUUUCUGGUUACACCAUAUAAAUUGUCUCAUCAAUGUUACCAUUGAGAAACAUUGUCUUUACAUCCAUCUGGUGUAACUCAAGAUCAAAAUAUGCCACUAAUGCCAUGAUAAUUCUAAAAGAGUUAUUUGAAGAGAUCGGAGAGAAGGUUUCUUUAUAGUCGAUGCCUUCUUUUUGUGUAUAUCUCUUGACGACAAGAUGAGUUUUAUAUCUUGUCACAUUGCUUUUCGAAUCCCUUUUGAUUUUAAAUAUCCACUUACAACCAAUGGAUUUUUCUGACAAUGGGACAAGAUCCCAAAUAUCAUUGUCUUUCAUGAAUUUAAUCUCCUCAUUCAUGGUAUCGAUCCACUUUUGAGAAUUUAAACUUUUCAUGACUUGACGGAAGUUAAUUGGAUCAUCUUCCAUCAAUCCAGUAUCAUCCUCGUAUUCCUGGAGAAAGACAAUAUAAUCAUCUGGUAUUACACUUCUCCUUUCUCUAGUGGAUCUUCUUAAUAGCACUGAUUUUUCAAGAGGAAGAGUUUAUUUUAGGACAUUGUCUUGAUUUGUUAUGUCAUGAUCAAGAUCAGGAAUGAGAUCCUUAACAAGAUCAAUAACAACUGUGGGAAUAUUGACAUAUUCUUCUUUAAAGACAAGCUCUCUUACUAUAUUUUCUUCCCCAAACUCGAUAUCCUCAAAGAAUCAGGCAUUUUCUAUCUCAAAAAUUGAUUUAGUUGCGGGAUCAUAAAACUUGUAAUCCCUGGAUCUUUCAGAGUAUCCAAUAAAAUAACAACUAACCGUUCUUGAGUCCAGUUUCCUUUCAUUUGACCUAUAAGGUCUUGCCUCAGUUGGACAUCCCCAAAUAUGUAAAUGCUUUAACCUGGGUUUUUUUCAGGUCCAAAGUUCAUAAGAAAUUUUGAUAGUUACUUUAGUUGAAACUUUGUUAAAGUAUGUGCUGCAGUUUUAAGUGCUUCUCCUCAGAGUAACUCUGGUAAGAUAGAAUGACAUAUCAUAUUUCUUACCAUGUCUUUAAGCGUUCUAUUUCGUCUUUCAGUUACACCAUUCAUAGUGGGUGAACCUGGCAUAGUGUAUUGUGGUGCGAUACUACAUUCCUCUAGAUAUUUAGCAAAUGGUUCUGGACGUUGUUCACUUGAACCGUUAUUCUACCAUAGUACUCAUCACCACAGUCAGAUCUGACGCUUUUAAUCCUUUUGUUGAGUUGAUUCUCAACUUCAACUUUAAAAUUUUUGAACACAUCUAGUGACUGUGAUUUUUCAGAAAUGAGAUAUAUGUAGUCAUAUCUUGAAAAAUCGUCUAUGAACGUUAUAAAAUAUUGUUGACCAUUCCAAACAGAUAUAGAAAAUGGUCCAUAAAUAUCUGUUUAUAUAAGUUCUAAGACGUCUAAGGAUCUAUUGAUUUCAAAUCUCCUUUUAUUAGUUUGUUUCCCCUUUAUACAGUUAACAUAAUCAUCAAAAUCUAUAAAAUUUAAGGGAUCGAGAAUUUCAUUUGACACAAGUCUUUCCAUUCUCCGUUUGGAGAUAUAUCCCAAUCUCUUGUGUCAUAAUGCAGCUGAAUUCUCAUUGGUUAAUUUUCUCUUUACUCCUCUAGUACUCAAAUGCAGAGAUUUAUUAACUGAGGUAAUUGUAUCAAUUAAAUAUAGAUUAUCGUAGUGCAUUAAAGAAUCAGAACCAACCAAUUUUGAAUCAUGAAACAAUUCAAAUUUUUCAUUUUCAAAUGAACAAAAAUAACCAAAUUUGUCCAAAGCAGAAAUAGAAAUUAAAUUUCGUCGAAAAGACAGUAUAACAAAUAUUUCAUUAAGAUCUAAAUAAAAUCCGGUCUUUAACAAUAAUCUAAAAAUUUCUAUUGCCUAAACUUGAACUGUUUUGCCAUCGUCCACGUAGAUAUAUCUUUCAUUAUGAUUAGGCUUUCGAUAAUUCAGACAACCCUACAUAGACACACUGAUGUGAGUUGUUGCACCAGAAUCUAAUCACUAUGUGUGUCUAGAUACCGAAAUUAAAUUAAUCUCAGAACAAACCAAAUUAAGAAGCAUACCUUUCUUAGUACACCAAGUGUGAUAAUUAGUGCAAUGCUUUUUUUUAUGUCCUUCAGCUCUACAGAAGAAACAAAUAUUCUUUCCCUGAUCAUCUGAUUUCUUUUAUUGUUUCUUUUGUGGCGCUGUACCUGCAACUCUUUUUUCCUUCUUUCUCUUAAGUCCUUUGUUUUUAUUAUUAGUGGUUGACAUCAGAUGGACACUUUUUGUCUGAUCUUGCUUUAAUUUUUUCUCUUCCUCUACACAGUGUGAGAUGAGUUCAUUUAAAGACCAAAUCUCCUUUUGACAGUUAUAACUCAUUUUAAACUGACUAAAUUAUGUAGGAAGAGAUAUUAAAAUCAAAUGCACUAGUAAUUCUUCAGAGAGUGUCAAUUUAAGUGCAUUUAAUUUUGAAGGAAGAUGCGACAUUUUUAUAAUAUACUCUCUGAUAUUGCCUUUAUCACUAUAUUUUAUUGAAACUAGGCGUGUCAAGAGCGUACUAAUUUCAGUUUUUUUGUUUUUGACAAACCUUUUUUAAUGUCCUGAAGGAACUCUUUAGCGGUUACUGUUAUUUCUGACAUUGUUCCUCUGAAUGCUUUUGGAACAAUCUUUUUAAUGAUCAUCAGACACAAGCGAUUUGAUCUCUCCUACCUUUCCUUAUCUCUCUUUUCAUCAGAGGUACUCUGAUCUGUAAGAGGUGGGGGAGAGUCAUCCCUUAACGCAAGGUCGAGAUCCAUUACUUCAAGUAUUAUCAAGAGAUUUUUUUUCAGGAUUUGAAAUUUGUGUCGUUCAACAUAGGAAUAUUAUUGAUAUUGAUAGUAAUAUUUGUAAGAUCAUUUACAACUGAACAGAAAAACAUAAAAUAAUUAAAACUAUGCUCACUUAAACCAAAUAAUAAUAAAUUCAAAUAAUGAUAGCCCAUCUCAAGAUACCAAUGUUCCAUUAAUAUUUUAUUUUUGGACAAAAUAUUAACUUCCAAGUGAUAUGUUGGCGCAGUAAUAAACACUGACAAUAAUAACAUGUCAAAAAAUAAAUUUUCCUUUCGGCUAAUUUAUAAUUCACAUGUAAAAAUCGAAUAAUUCAUAUUUUAUAAUUCACAUGUAAAAAUCGAAUAAUUCAUAUUUUAUAAUUCACAUGUUUAUUACUAUAAGUGCACAUGUAACUUUAUUAAAUAUUGACCUUUCUUUGGGCCAAUCAAUAUUCAUAAAAUCACAAGUGCUCAACUGGUUAUAUUCUAAAAUAAAUUAAUUUCACAAUAGAAGUCACUUUGGUGGCAUAUUAUUUCAAUUAAUUUAUUUCAAAAAAUAUAUAAUCAUACCAAAAUUCAAAUUUAAAAUUAUACAAAUUAAACAAAAAUUUUGAUCAAAGUCAACUUUGGUUAACUCUGAUCAAAACAUGGUCAAAUAUGGUCAAACCAAUCAAAUCUAGUAAAACCAAUCAAUUGGAUCAAGACUUAUUUGGACCAAAAGUCAAUAUCCAUAAUUUGAUCCAAAUUUAUCAUGCAAGGCUAAAAUAUUUCUUGAAGUCCAUAAUGUUUUAUAAAACUGUAUAUUUAGUGGGCCAAACAUAUGGACUUUUGUUGGGUUUAAAUGUCUUGUUUAUCUUUAUUAAGGUUAACUUACAUUAGAGAAACCCUAAUAUCCUUAACAUAAAUGUAUUAAAAAUCAAUUUGCACAACAAUGAAUUGGCUAACUAAAAAUAAUGAAUCUGUGCAAUAAACAAUGAAUCAGCCAAGUAAAAAUAUCAAAGCCAACAACCAAGGUUUGACUAUCGUGGGACCUGACCGAAGGCAUAAAGACACAAUUCACGUCAAUCAACGUCACGAAUUGACAUCUAAGCGAUCAAUGUUGUGAGCAUAGAGACUGAGACGCAACGUUGGAACUUUUUUUUUUUUGUCGCAACGAUAGGAUUCUUAUAACCUACACUAGUCUAAUCUCGGGGGAAGGGGGAGGGGAUUCGAUGUGAGUAGAAACUUCAUCGAAUAUGGUCAACGAAAACCAUCACAUAUUGUGAUAAUUUUGGUGGGAGGCAAGAAUCGAACCCUUGACCUCCCAACACCACCAAGCCUUAGAAGGUUGGGUAGUAACGCUGGAACUUGAUUCAUGUUGUUCACAAAUUCACACGAUAAUCAUUAAGAAAGCACAUGAAUGACUUUAGCAAACAAGUAGUCUAGAUUCAUUGGCCAUGCAGCAAAACCAAAAGUGAUUGCAAUUCUUUUACGGAUUAUAAAAGCCAAAACACGAAACUGAAACAUACAACCAAAUCAUGAACAUGACUACAACCACAGAACAAAAUUGUUUGCCGUGAAAAUCAAAAACUAAAUUAAUCAUAGUUUUUUUUUUAAUAAAACUAUGAAUUACUAAAUCCAAACUAUUUCCUAAUAAUCAACCAUAUCCGGCUCUAAUACCACUUCUUAGGGUGGUUAUCUAAAAUUAACCUUUGGUGAAUACCAUCACCUAUUAAACCCAAAAUCUAUAUGGCGAUUAUUAAGAAAUAAAUUAACAGUGAAAUAGCGGAAGCGCACCUGGAUUCAUAUCGACAAACUGAUAUUUGAAUCUCCAAAGAUAUUGGGGUAGUCUUCCAGAUCAACAUGUAUUUGCCAAUUCUUGAGAGAGCCCUUUAGUAUCUCUUUGGUAUCUUUCCUGACGAUGGGAUAUCAGAGAAAAGCUAUUUUUUGUGGUACUAGAAAAUAUGACAAAUAGAAUACGUGUGACUUGGGGACCAUAACCCUAUUUAUAGAUAACAAUCCUCUUACCCUUUGGAUCCCUAUUUCAGUCCAUCAUAGAAAUAGAAAAUAUCCUUAAGUCUCUACACAUUAAAGAUCCACACCCUAUUAGAUACAUUAAGUCCAAACCAUAUUUGAUCACUUUAAUUGGAUUCAACCUUAUUUGACAGUUUGCAACCCAUAAUUAUUCACAUAUAAGUCCAACGUUGGAUUAAGGAUCCAACAUACUGCUCUUUGCAAAUGUUUUGCAUGCAAGACUUGCAUGAUUUCCAUUCUCCAUGGGGAAUCCAAAUAAGUUCUGUUGAUGUAAAAACUGCUUAAAUAAGCCGAUGGUGGGAGUCACAUGCUGCUAAAGGAUUGUAAAUGCACAACUACCGAAUUGAUUAUCAAGAAUUUGGUUAAUUGGCAAUCAAUGAUCUUUCACAAAAUUUACCAUACCAGUUUAGUGAUCAUCAUCCUCGAAUUUCUUGUUGAGAUUUGAAAAGUCAUUAAUCCAAGGUUAAUGAAGAUUUGUUCAUGAGAAAUUAGUUGGUUAUCAAUAAUAGUAUCAAUAAAAGCAAAUAAACCUGUGGUAUUGGAAUCAAAAUUCUUUAUCACCACAACAGAACAAUGCGUACAUCCAAUAAUCAUGACUGGAAAAAAAAACCCAAAUAGUUGAGAAACUAAACAAAUUUGUACUUACUUAGGGCUGAUAUGUUGACUUGGGACAAAAUUUGUUUUCUCUGAUUCAGUCCUGUAGUUCCCAAGGAACGUGUAUAUGGCGACUACAAUCCUGCAGUUUCUGCAGAGUUUGGAAUUUUUAAGUUUUAAACAUUAAUCUCUUUUGUUUCGAACACAACGGUGAGAAAAAAAAAAAG